rnacentral:lncRNA from 1 species
UUACUUAUAACAGCUUAAUGGACGGAUAUUGUUUGGUUAAUCAGGUAAAUAAGGCAAAAUAUGUAUUCAACACAAUGGCCGAGAGUAGAGCGUUUCCUAAUGUUCGGAGUUAUAAUAUCAUGAUUAAUGGCUUUUGUAAGAGUAAAAUGAUCGAUGACGCCUUGAAUCUCUUCGAAGAGAUGCAUCGCAAGAACUUGGUUCCUGACACUAUAACUUACAGUACUCUAGUUGAUGGCUUGGGAAAAUCAAGGAGAAUCCUUUGUGCCUUGGAGCUUCUUGAAAAGAUGCAUGAUCGAGGUCAACCCGCUAAUAUAGUCACUUACAAUUCCUUGUUGGAUGGGAUGUUCAAUAUCAAACAGCAUGACAAGGCACUUAUGUUAUUCAAGGAAAUGAAAGAGAGUGGCAUUGAUCCAGAUAUAUAUACAUAUAGCAUACUUAUAGAUGGCCUGUGCAAAAGUGGAAGACUUAAAAAUGCAAAAGAGAUAUUUCAAAAUCUUUCCAUUAAAGGCUGUUCUCCAAAUGUGAGGACUUACAAUAUUAUGAUCCAUGGGCUCUGCAAAGAGGGAUUGUUAGAAGAAGCAUUGGCCCUGCUGUCCGAAAUGGAAGACAAUGGUUGCUUACCAGAUGCUGUGACUUUUGAAACCCUUAUUCGUGCUUUGUUUGAAAAAGAUGAGAAUGACAUGGCGGAGAAACUUCUUCGGGAAAUGGUUGCUAGAGGCUUAUUGAAUUGAUAAAAGAAGGUAAGAUACAUCAACUCGAAUUGAAAUUACAUCUCAUUGUUGCUGAAUAUGUAUCAUAGUUUUGUAAAUUCUGUGUCUAUUGGGUUAGAGGACUUUGGCAAUGCCAUAACAUUAAUUAAUUUUGCACUUUCGAUUUUUGCAAUUGCUAUCAUCCUUUUGAAUUCCACUAUAUUGAUUCUUUAGUUGAUAUUCCUAGUUAUAGCUUACAGAUUUAGUGUUUAAGAUCUCUUUAUAGCGAUAGUGUUCUUUACUGUUCUUCUAUGAGAUCAUGUAUUUAUCAUGCUACAAACUAAGCAAAAAUAAAAAGAUUGAAAAUUUUGUUUUGUUGUUUGUUGUUUGUUCUCUGCUAUUCUGUUGUGCAACCUAUUUUUCCGUAUCUUUGUAGGUACGAUAUAUAUAUAUAUAUAUCAACCAUGAGCAUUUAUUGUUUAUUUGAUUGAAUCCUCUGGGUAUUGUUGUAAAAGGAAAUUUAAAUAGGUACUAAGGAUUUAUUCUUAGGCUAUAUAGUUUUCACUUCCAUCUUAAAAAUAAACCCACCUUCUAAAAUGCAUGUCUCCUCUUUUCAUCAACCUAAGCAACAUCGAGUCAAGGUUAAUAUGGUUCAGUUAUUUCAAGAUUUUUGGUCAUUUUCUUAAUUAAUGCUACUCAGUUGUAUUGCUUGGAAAUUGCUUCUGCUGAAAAUAUUACAUUAUGAAAUACUUUUUCAGAGAAUGUUUUUUCUGUUAAUUCUUAGAUAAAUUACUUCAUUAUUUCUUGUGUAGACAUUAUUGCAUUGUCUCUGAGUCUCUUUUUAUUAGCAUUUUAAAAAAAGUUACUGGCUUGGAGUUUUGUUAUGUGGUGUUUGUGAUGGGGGUGUUAAAAGUGAAACAAUACAGAAUUCUUUGAGUUUUUGCUAAUUUUGCCUCCAAAUAAUAAUUUUCCCUGCACAUAUCCUUCCAAUUCCUAAUUUUCGAUCAUCAUCAUUCAAUCAUAAUUUUUCUCUCCAAAUGAAUUUUUUUAUUACCAUCAUUCAACAAUAGCGAACACUUUCAGGACUCCAAUAAUAGUACGAUAGCUCCAGCAUCGUUGUACUUGUUUUGUUCUUAUCAAAUUUAACACUCAUGCUUUACUUUAAAAUUUUUUGUUUGGUAAAGUUUUAUUUCAGAAGUCAAUUACAUUAUUUUUUGUCAAUGUGACUUCUUCAGCCAUCAUAACCUAUACGUAUAAUAUACAUGUUAUGUAAUUUUUUUGUCAUUAUAGUACAAAUUCUAUGUUAUUAUUUUUAUCGUAUUUGUUACGUAUAUAAGGGCAUUUAAGUAAAUUCCUCUUCAUCGGAAUUUCACAUGUUUCCGUUGAGCGGGUAUCUCAAUCCCAAAAGUAGAGUGUCAAAAUAUAUAUUCAACACAAUGACCCAAAGUAGAGUGUCACUUGAUGUUCAAAGUUACAAUAUCAUGAUUAAUGGCUUGUGCAAAAGUAAAAUGGUAGAUGACACCUUGAAUCUCUUUGAAAAAAUGCGUCGCAAGGACUUGGUUCCAGACACGAUAACUAUUAGUAUUCUUAUUGAUGGCUUGUGCAAAUUAGGGAGAAUAUCUUGUGCUUCAAAGCUUCUUGUUGAAAUGCAUGAUAAAGGUCAACCUGCUGAUAUAAUCACAUACAAUUCCUUUCUUGAUGCUUUAUGCAAAAACCAUCAUGUUGACAAAGCACUUGUUUUAUUCAACACAAUUAAAGAUCAGGGCAUUCGCCCAAAUAUAUGUAUAUACAACAUACUUAUAGAUGGCUUGUGCAAAAGUGGAAGAUUUAAAAAUGUAAAAGAUUUUUCAAGAUCUUUCUGUUAAAGGCUAUUGUCCAAAUGUGUGGACAUACACUAUUAUGAUCAAUGGGCUUUGCAAAGAGGGCCUGCUUCAUGAAGCAUUGGCUUGCUUGUCAAAAAUGGAAGAUAAUGGUCGCUUACCAAAUGCUGUGACUUAUGAAAUAAUCAUUUGUGCUUUGUUUAAAAAAGGUGAAAAUGAUAACGCGGAGAAACUUCUUCGUGAAAUGAUAUCUAGAGGCCUAUUGCAAGGAGAAAAGUAGGUGAGAUUCUCUUUCUUUUUAACUUGUCUUUUGUUACCUUCUUCCUAAUCAUCUAUCUGUUCCAUAUUAUUGAUGCUUCUGAUUCUUUCUCUACAAGAUGGUGAUUCUUUGUUCUGUUUAGCCACACUUAGAUAUUUUCUGUCAUUGCUUAUUUGAUGUCUUUUUGUGUCAAGGUGGUUGUCACAUGUGUCUUGUGGGGGGUAUCUUGUUAUUUCCUUCUUUUAUUAUAUUUGUGCUUUGAUGUUAAGUUAUUCCUAACUAAGUUUGUUUUGAUUUCAUUAUUUCAAAGGGAAUCACUUGUUAAGUUUCUCUACACUCUUGUUAUUGUCUUCCAUUCUUUUCAUUUUCCCAUGCAGCAAUAUACUUGUUAGUUUACAGAGGUUUUCUACUUAGUUUUUGCUUCUUCUUGUUGUUAGUAGAUUAACCUUCUGAGACUUACCUAAACAAGUGAAAAUGUAGAUGUUCUUUCAAGAGUUUGUAGUAACUAGUAAGCAUGCAAUGCUUUUUUAUGUGUUCAACCUUUAUCGUAUUUGCUUUAGCUCUACUAUGCAGAUAGUGAAGAUAGAGAAUCAUUAUGGACAUGCAUAUGUGAUACCAAUGGAUUCUCUAAAGCGGCAGUAGGUGUUCAUAGCUCUAGUUGCUUUAAUCUUGCAACUGCACCUGGGUAUCUUCCUUAUUCCGUUUUGCUUCCAACUUGGAAGCUUUUCAAUGCUGCUACUGCUAAACCAAUUAUUAUUGUGCUUCUGAUAAUAUGCCUGCAAUUGCAGUUGCAGACCACAAUUUAAAACCCUUUACUUUACUUUCGUUUUGUAGAUUUAAGCCAUGAUUUGAAACCCUUGUAAUAUUUUUUCAAUUAUAUAUCUCGACGGCCUUAUUGGUGAUCUGCUCCUUUGUGAAAAAAAAAAAAUUAAUCCCAACUUAUUGCAUCGAGAAUGCAAUUAUAGACUUAUAGUUAAAGAAUUAUAUAUCUUGGUGACGCUUAAAAAUUAUAUAUAAAAAUUACAUUUGAUAUUGUCAAUUAUCAAUUAUAUGAAAUAAAAUAAAAAAAAUCAUGGUCCGAACUAAUCUACAAUUCUACAUAAAAGGGAGAAAAGGAAAAAAAAGUGAAUUGAUUUAAAAAUAAAUUAUUAUAUAAAUUCUUCUUUAGUAAAAGUCUGUUUUUACUAAAUGGGGUCAGUUAUAUAGAUCAAAGACGUCAUUUCGUUGUGUAGCCAUGCAUUGAGAUGUGACAUUGUUUUACAUUGGUUGUUGUAUACUAAACAAUCCUCCUCAUAUUUUCGGGUUUGGGAUAUUUUCGGGUUUGGGAUGUAAACAGAGGCCGAAUUAAAUUAUCAUAUAAAUUAGACAUAAUUAAAUAAUUUUAUUUUCAAAAAAAUAAUUAAAAUGUCUAAAGAAUUGCUCGUCAGCCUAACAAUAUUUGUGUUCUACUUCCUGUUCUUAUGUUUAGAAUAAAGUACACACAAAUCUCAUUCUAAUAGAAUCAUGGACCUAGUAAGAACAUUAAGAAUAUGGUGAAAACUCAUGUGCAGUCGAUUUCAUGUGAAACUGAUAGCUGAGAGCCGUUAGAUGAAAAUUUUGUCAAAUCAAUCAAAUCAUCUAACAGCUCUGAGUUAUCAACUUCACGUGAAGUCGACUGUAUCUGAGUUUCCACCUAAGAAUAUUUCCUUUUUGGUUUCCUAAGCGUGAAACACAAUGACUAAUCUUUUUGCUACAAAUCAUCCUAUUAAGAACAAAUGACUAGUUACAAGACGCUUUUCAUGACUAAGGUAGGAUUCAAACUUCUAACUUCUUAAUCAAGGGACCGAAUGAUAAAAUACCAAACUAUACUCAAGUAGUUAUAUCACCAAUAAUAUAAUCACACAUAGGAAUGUAAUGUCCGAAUAAUUCAUAUCACAUUUAUAUCACUUAUAAUAAGCGAGACUUCUCCCAUAUCUGGCACCCACUCAGUUAAAAGUUAGAACAUUGUUUAGCUCGUGUUUUGUUGCCUCUACGCGUUUGUUUGCUUUUAUAAAUAUGUAACACGAAAUUCUACUGAAAUUUUUGCUCAUGAUUGUUCAAUAUUAAUAUAGGCUUUUAAUUCUAAAUUAUUUGGGGGUAUUCACUAGGAUCAAUUUCACAUCAUCCUGAGUUUUCUGCUAUUUAAUUAAUAAAAUCUUAAGCUAUGGUCUAAAUAGAAUAAACUGUUCUUUAAUGGUUCUGCUAAAAAUAUUUUUCUUUCAUGUAUGUUGGCCCGCAAAAUACAAGUGUUACAAUGGCUAAACAUUCGGUACUAAUUAAACAUUUUCGUGAACCACCAGCUUUAUUUUUCUCAAUUCCAUUUCUUCAGUUGUUAUACAAUGCUCUCUCGAUGAAACUGCACCUCCUGCAAUUUUAAAGAACUAAAACUUUAGCCUAGACUUACCAGUUAAUAAAAGCAUGAACAAUCAAAAUCGAUUCAAUGCUAGAGAGGAAAUUCUUUAUUGUACAUUCACCUUUUCAAACAUCAAAUUCUUAAUUCUGAGUUUAUCUUAAGAUGAAUUCUUGGUACCUAUAAAUUGGUACUUAAUUUUUGCCCAUCUUACCUUUUAUAUCAAAUUUUAAAUUUUAAAAAAUUAUUUAUUUUUAUAUUUUUUAAAUUAAAUAUUAAUUUUUUAUUUUUUCNNNNNNNNNNNNNNNNNNNNNNNNNNNNNNNNNNNNNNNNNNNNNNNNNNNNNNNNNNNNNNNNNNNNNNNNNNNNNNNNNNNNNNNNNNNNNNNNNNNNNNNNNNNNNNNNNNNNNNNNNNNNNNNNNNNNNNNNNNNNNNNNNNNNNNNNNNNNNNNNNNNNNNNNNNAGGAAUAUAUAUGUAUGUCUAUAUUUCUUGUAAUGAGCUGGCAUUAUAAGACCAUUCUCAAUCCAGGCUGUCAUCUCUAGUUCUUUAUGAGAAAAAAUAUCCUAUUCAACCACAAGGUUGUGAUAAUGAAAGAAUUGAAAAUGAUAACAGGGCAAAGAAGCUAAAAUAAUGACAACUCAAUUUUGAGUAAAGAGAAUGCCGUGGCUAAAUGGAUGGCUAAUUAUACUAAUGCUAGUGAAAAUAGGAAGUUACAAACAAAUCAUAAAACAAGAAUUGAAUUUUGUAAAUAAAAGUAGUGAAUUCCUACUUUGAUAAUUCGAAAAAUGCUCUAUCUUUUCCUUUCACAUCAUAAUACACCGAAGAACUUACAUAACAAUUAGUCUAGCUAAGAAAUUUACAUAAUAACAAUUCAUUAAUAACCAUGAUUGAGAUUAUGUCAUUCUCAAUAUACUAGUUGACCUUGAAGAAGUUAAAUGACAAGAGAUUGCAAAAUUAUAAAACACUAGAAGAAAUGCAAGGUUAGCUAGAUGAAGCCUAUGUUGCAAUUAUACGUAAUAGAAAAAUAACAAAACUAGCAAUUGAGCAAGCACCACAGUAAUUAAAUAGGAUUCUGUUGUGGGCAACACUAAACUAGAGUUACUAGCAAAUAAAAGUGAGGAGCUGGACGUAAGUAUAAACUUCUGUCUUAAAAUGGUAUGUUUUAUUGUCAGGGGAAAAUGGUGAAAACAACAGAAUUAUUUUAGCUUAAAGUUCUAAUAUAUUUUGCAGAUAAAAUUAUCACCCAAGAAAUUAUGUUAUAUUUUUAAAUAGUAUAAUUUAAAGAAAGGAGUAUACUUUUAACUUUGUUUCUAAAACAAAUGUUAUGCCAUUUGUCACUCGAAAUUUAAAUUACAAAAAAUAGAAGUAAAUGGGGAAUGAAAAUUAUAAAACGGUUUCCUAUGGAAUAGAAUUGAUGAUUAUUUGCAGAAGAAUAUAAAUUCCAAUCCAACAUGAACAAUAUCAAAUUCAGUAUCUGCCUACUACACUUACAUACAUGCAAAUAUGUACCAAAUUUAGAGCCCGUUUGGGAAGUAGCAAAAGCUACUUUUUUUUUUUUUUUUUUGUUUUUGAAAAGUAAAAAGCAGCAUUUUAGAAAAAAAUUUUAACUUCUCGAAAAGUUAAUUUACAGCUUUUUGAAGAAGUAGAAAUAUAUAACUUAUCUACUUCUCGAUAAGUCAUUCUACCACUUUAUUAAAAAAAUUAAUUUCAAAACAAAAAAAAUUUACUUUCCUUCUUGACUCUGGAAAAAAUACUGACCACCACAAAUUAUGUUUAACGGUGGAGAGGGAAAAUUUGGAAAGUAAAAAUCGUAGGGGUAAAUGUAGAAUUACAAAAAAAGAAAACAGAGGGUUCAAUUUGAAAUUACUAAAAUCCGUGGCCUAAAUAAGAUAGUAAAAGCAGAAACAAUUAAACAAAUAACCUCGAACAAGCUUGAUUGUACCCUCACUCUGUUGGUGGUUGCCAGAAUGUUGUCAUUCCUCUCAUUCUCACGAAUCAUGUUAAGGUAUGCUCUUCAAAUCCCAAAUCCCUCUCCUUAUUGUGUUCCCUAUUCCGCUCUCCGUCUUUGCUUCCCUUCAACUUCAUCCCUACACUCUCACUCUCAGCCCCAAUCACUUGAUGAAGCUGUUGAUUCCUUCACUCGCAUGCUCUCUAUGCGUCGCCCUCCAUCCAUCAUCCAAUUCACCAAGAUUUUGGGAUCUCUUGCCAAGACCAACCAUUUCUCCACAGCCAUUUCCCUUUUUCAGCAAUUGCAAGCCAGGGGAAUCGCUCCCGACUUAUUUACUUUGAGCAUCGUGAUUAAUUGUUGUUGCGGCAUGGGUCGUAUGACGCUUGCUUUCUCUGUAUUGGCUAAGAUUUUCAGAAUGGAUUAUCAACCUAAUACGGUAACAUUGAAUACACUCAUGAAAGGUCUCUGUCUCUGUGGUAGUGUUGAAAAAGCAGUGCGCUUUCAUGACAGAGUGCUGGCUCAUGGAUUUCACUUUAAUCAAGUCACUUAUGGGACUUUGAUCAAUGGCCUCUGUAAGACCGGCCACACAUCAGCUGCUAUUCAAAUGUUGAGAAAGAUCCCACGGUAUGGCAUUGCUCCUAAUGUCUUCAUGUACAGCGCAAUUAUUGAUAGCCUCUGCAAGGAUACACUUGUAAGUCAGGCUUUUCAUUUAUUCUCUGAAAUGCUUGCUAAGGGAAUUUCUCCAGAUGUUAUCACAUACAGUUGUCUCAUUUUUGGAUUGUGUCUUGAGGGUCAAUAUAAGGAAGCCGUUGAUUUGUUAAGUGAUAUGGUGCUUAGAAACAUUACUCCUAAUGUUUAUACCUAUAAUACUUUGAUUGAUGGGCUAUGCAAGGAAGGAAAGAUCAAAGAUGCUAAGAGUGUAUUGGCUGUAAUGUCAAAACAUGGUGUGAAACCAGAUGUGGUUACUUAUACCAGCUUAAUGGAUUGAUAUUGUUUGGUUAAUCAGGUAAAUAAGGCAAAAUAUUUAUUCAACACAAUGGCCGAGAAUAAGCAAAAAUGGAAGACAAUGGUUGCUUACCCAAUGCUGUGACUUAUGAAACAAUCAUUCGUGCUCUAUUUGAAAAUGGUGAAAAUGAUAAAGCGGAGAAACUUCUUCGUGAGAUGAUAUCUAGAGGCCUAUUGCAAGGAUAAAAGUAGAUGAGAUUCUUCUUGUUAGACAUCACAAAAUGUUGCUUGUAUCUCUUUCUUUUUAACUUGUGUUUUGUUACCAUCUUCUCGAUCAACUUUCCAUUCGAUACUAAUGCUUUUAGAUCUUCACAUGAUUGUGAUUCUUUAUUCUGCUUUACCCACACCUAAGUGUUUUCUUUGCCGUAGCUUAUUUUAUGGCAUUUUCGGUGACUAGAUGGCUGUUAUAUGUGGCUUGAAGGAUCUAUCAUUAUUUCCUUUUUUGUUUUUGUAAUUAUAUAUGUGCAUUGGUGUUAAUUUAUUCCUAAGCUGAAACAGUUGUGAUUUUCAUCAUUCAAAGGGAAUCCUUGUUAGUUGUGAAGCUUCCCUGCACUCUUAUUGUCUUUCGAUCUUUUCAUUUCCCCCAUAUUUAAAGUAAACUCCCCCAUAUUUAUUCUCUUUUGGGAAAUGAUUGCUAGAGGCUUAUUGAAUGGUUUAUAGAAGGUAAGAUACAUCAACUCAAAUUAAUAAUUUUUCUAUUAUUGUUGAAAUUAUUACAAAGCUUUAAAUUUUGUGGCAAUUGGAUUGGAGGAUUUGGGAAUUAUCAUGAACUCAAUAGCAGCGGUUUUGGUUAUCUCAUUAUUAUGAAUGAAUUUUGAACUUUUGUUAUUGGAUGACUUUUGAGUCUCUGUUUGUUGCCAUGGCUAUAAUGCAUCCUGUUUUGGUAGAUAUUCUUUGUUGUAACUGAUUUGUUAGUGCUUAACAUUUCUUGAUAGUAACCUAGAGCUCAUGAUUGGUGUUCUGAGCAACUGUGCUUUAUUUGACUGAAUUUCCUAGGAAAAGAUAUGUAGUGCCAAGAGCCUAAGAUUAAUGGCAUAGGUAUAUGAUUUUCGCUGCUAUCUUCAAAACAAAUUCAUCUGCUAAAUGCAUGACCCCACUUUUUUGUUAACCGUUUUUGACGUUUUGAUCUUUUUUACAAUCUGAGCUGAAGAAAUCUGUAUAUUAAAGUAUGUUAUCACACAAUGUGAAUUUGGGUAAUAUGGUUUAAAUAUGAAGUAUCUUAAAACCUUUGGUCAUUUUCAUAGUUAGUGUUACUCAGUUGUGAUUCUUAGAAACUUAACCAACCGAAAAUACGUACAUAUGAAAUAGCUCUUCACAGAGAUUUUCUGUUAAUGCGUAGUUGAACUGUUUCAUUACUUGUUGAAAUCCUAUAUAGGGAUUAUUGUAUUGACAUUGUUUAAACAUGUUGAAAAAGCUUUUAUUAUUAAAACAUGGUUUGGAGUUUUGUUGUUUGUUAAAGAUCUGGUGAUUCUAACUCCAAGUACAAUUGUUUUUACACCUAUUCCUUUGGUUUUUCUAAAUCUUCUUUGCAUUGUGAUGGCUGAGGUUAGAAUAAAGAAUUAAAAGUGAAACAAUGUUGUACAAUUUGAGGUUGCAUUUUUUUAGAAUAUCUUUGAAUGUUAGUACAAUUUCUUUUGGGAUCAAAAGUUGAACUGUGAUAUAGCCUCGUUGCUGAUUAACUUAUUUUAUCAAACUGAUUUUGAACCUGUAUUGGUGGUUGAGUAUUUUGGAUUCUUGACAUGGUUUUCAUCUUUGUUCCACGAGUAAUACCGAUCUACCUUAUUGAUUCCUAGGUACACUGAAGCAUGUUAAGUUGCAGCUUGGGGCAGACAAAAAUUGAACUUCUCCAGUAUGAAUUUUCUUUAUACUUGAAUUUCAAUUUAUCUCCUUCUUAAUAAAUUGAGACACUCAAAUUAAUAUUUUCUUAGCUUAUUUGGUUUCUAGUUGAACCCAUACUCAUUGGAUUUUAAGCUUCAAAAUCAGUUUUAGAUGGAAGUGACUAAUAGUUGCUUUCACAAAAAAUCACUCUUCAGACAGCAUUAAUAAACAUAAAUUAAUUCAAUCUCAAACAAGAUAGAAUAUGUUUGAUGUUGCUAUACACAUUGAGGAAUUAAUCUUAGCAUUAUUAAAUUAGGUUGUUCAUAUACUAUUAUUUUGUGGUGCAUAAAUCAAUUUUUAGACUUGCUUUGAUUAAAAUUUCCUUUUUCACAAAUAAGUACAGGAAAUAUUCAUUUGAUCUUGUGAAGGGUAUAAUCAUGGUUUAUUUUAAUGCUGGUGUCGAAACCAUUGCAGAAGCAAAUCAGCGGUUCUCAAGUGCCACAAACCAGAGACAAUGUAAGCAUGAGAAGGCUCAAUCAUGGAAUAUGUAUCAAUAACUAAGGUAAGACCAAUACAUUGUUGAUGUUGAAAAGUUAUGAACAGCAAUGUAUGGGAAACCAUAUCAAAAGGAUAAAAUGUAGUCAAUUUAAUCUGAUAAAUGCAUAAUUGCAUAAGAAAUUUAAUGUUUGAUUAUUAUUUUUUUCUUACUUUUACUCUUAAACAAAACUCUGUUAAGAAAAAUUGCUGAAAACAAUGUCAUUUCUAUAAUUCUAUGGAAGGUUACAUUACAAGAUAUAUAUAAGGGCUGAUUCAAAUAGCUUUUCACUUUAGACAUUGUUUUUGGAUUCAAGCUUUAACCAGAAUGCAUCAAAAUUGCACACACAGACUAUCAUUGUUCUUUCAAGAACCUCUCAAUUGAACUAUUCUACUAAGUACUAUCAUUGACAUGUUUUGGGAGGAACAGCUCUUUGCAACUGAAUGCUACAAGAGGUAGCAUUUCAGGGCCAAAUCCAAGUUGUCGAGGGGGAUUCUUAUUUGUACAAAUGGCACGUCAAACUUAGAACGAGCACGAAGGAAUUAACAUACUUCUUUAUCUUUUGAGUUGUUUUGCCGGAUCGAUUGCUCAAGACCUUUGGUCUCUAUCCGGACUUGAUGAAAAAAAUGGGAUCACUUCUUAUGAACUUGUUGAAAAUGAUUCUGAUCUAGUUCAUAGCCUAUUAGAAGUAGAAGGCGCUCUAGUGGGAUCCUCACAGACAAAAAAAAGGUUGCAGUUAGUUUGAUAAUGAUCGAGUAACAUUGUUUUUUCGGUCUGAACUAAGGAAUUCCUUAAUAUGAUUUAAAAAAGAUCUUGUUUUAUGUUGAUAAAAGAUUUCUCUAUGAAAAAUAUGAAUCAGAGUUUGCAAAAGGGGAAGAAGUCUUCGACCCGCAACAGAUGGAGGAGGAUUUAUUCAAUCACAUAGUUUGGGCUCAUGGAAUAUGGCACUUUCUUCUUUUCAUGCUCUGCUAUUUCAUUGUCUAAGGAGGCUUUAGCAAUUUUGGUGACGAAAAUGAAUAGAAUGCCUAAGAAGAAUAUAUAAUUGAACGGAUUUUCUAAAUAUUUUCGUUUUUACACUUGAUAAGAUCAUGUUAUCUUGAGUUUUUUUUUCUUUAUAUAUAUAUAUAUAUAUAUAUCUUGUUGAGGAUGCAAAUUAUCUUUUGACUCCAAUGUAUAACUCAGUUAAAAUUAUUCAAUAUCAUUUUGAGCAUUACUAUUGAAUUUAGAAUAGGAAAACAAAAUUUGAUAGAUUUUUUUUAACGUCUCUUAUUUCUUAAAAAAUAUUACUAUUUGUUAUGUCAAUUAAAGUAAUUAAAAUAAAUAAAUACAAAGGUCGAACAAUUGUGCAAGGAAGAAAUUGUUGAUGGGAUCACUUCUUAUGAACUCGUUGAGAAUGAUUCUGAUCUAGUUCAUGGCCUAUUAGAAGUAGAAGGCGCUCUAGUGGGAUCCUCACAGACAAAAAAAAAAUGUUGCAGUUAGUUUGAUAAUGAUCGAGUGACAUUGUUUUUUCGGUCUGAACCAAGGAAUUUCUUAAUAUGAUUUAAAAAAGAUCUUGUUUUAUGUUGAUAAGAGAUUUCUCUAUGAAAAAUAUGAAUCGGAGUUUGCAAAAGGGGAAGGAGUCUUCGACCCGCAACAGAUGGAGGAGGAUUUAUUCAAUCACAUAGUUUGGGCUCAUGGAAUAUGGCGCUUUCUUCUUUUCAUGCUCUGCUAUUUCAUUGUCUAAGGAGGCUUUAGCAAUUUUGGUGACGAAAAUGAAUAGAAUGCCUAAGAAGAAUAAUUGUUAUUAUUAAAUCUCCAAAAGAAGGAGAACGGAUUUUCUAAAUAUUUUCGUUUUUACACUUGAUAAGAUCAUGUUAUCUUGAGCUUUUUUUUCUUUAUAUAUAUAUAUCUUGUUGAGGAUGCAAAUUAUCUUUUGACUCCAAUGUAUAACUCAGUUAAAAUUAUUCAAUAUCAUUUUGAGCAUUACUAUUGAAUUUAGAAUAAGAAAACAAAAUUUGAUAGAUUUUUUUUAACGUCUCUUAUUUCUUAAAAAAUAUUACUAUUUGUUAUGUUAAUUAAAGUAAUUAAAAUAAAUAAAUACAAAGGUCGAAUAAUUGUGCAAGGAAGAAAUUGUUGAAAUAAAUAAAUAAGAGAUAUAUGAUAUAAACUCUUGUCUAAUUCUUGUAUUCUUGUCGAAUGAUGAAUUAUUAAUUGUCAAUUAUUUAUUUUCUUACCAUUUUCUAUUGGCAAUUUCAGAAAAGAGUUAAAAAAAAGAAAGAAAGAAGAAACUUGUUAGGGGUUCACAAUUUUCUUUUAUAUUUCAUGAUAAUGGAACAAUUCUUAAUAAUCAACGUGUAUUUUUUUGUUUUGUUUUGUUAAUUAUAAAAUAAUUUAAAUGCUUAAUUAAUUAAUAACAGCCAUAUUCUAUAUGGUGUUAGGAGUGCUUGGUAACGAAUUGUUAGUCGACAUACAUAGAAUACUCAAGAGAAGAAGAAUUGAGUAUUAACCAUUUCAACAAUUUUUUUUAUUUUGCAAUACUUUAAAAACUUUUAAUAAUAUAGAAUUAAAUUGAAUUCUAUCAAUAAUUGAAUUUCAGCUAAAAUUAAAUUGAAUUUUAAUAUUUAUAAUAAAUUAACAAAAUUAUAAAAUUGAAUUGAAUUCCAAUAUUUAGAAUAUUUAUGUGAAAAUUGGAACUGUGAAAGGUUGAGAGACAGAAAGCGAGAAGAAAGAGAAGCAAAAAAAGUGGUAAAAUGAUUCAGAUUUCUUGUUGAAAGAGAAUAAAAAAUUACAAAGGUAAAAUUCGGUAUAGCUGCACUAUAUAUACAACAGCAUGUGGACUAACCAACUGUAGUUAAGUUAAAACCAACUAACUAACUAAGGUAAGUUAACAGUUAGUAAUCUCUAAUUAACUAGCUUUACUAUAAUUAGCAUAUGGUAUAGUAACGAUCUAUAUCAACUAACAUCCCCCUCAAACUAGGAGGGUAAACAUCUAACAAUCCUAGUUUGCGAUAACAUGAAUAGAAAGGUCCUGGAGCAAGUGUUUUGUUGAGCAAAUCUGUUGUUUGGUUAGCAGAUGUGACAGGGAAGCUUCAAGAUCCCCUCAUUGGCCAUGUCUCGCACAAUGUGGCAGUCAGCCUCUAUGUGCUUCGUCCUCUCAUGCAGAACUGGAUUAGCAGCCAUGUGAAAUGCGGAUUGGCUAUUGCUAUAGAGGGUGAAUGGCUGCGCAUGAUCAAUGCCAAGAGUUCUUAAUAACUGAAGAAGCCACAGACCUUCACACGUCGCAUUUGCCAAUGCUCGGUAUUCCGCCUCUGAAGAUGAUCGAGACACAGUUUGCUGCUUGCUGCUCUUCCAAGAGAUUAAGGUGGUCCCUAGGAAGAAACAGUAGCCAGAAACAGAUCUCCUUGUGUCUAGACAAGUUGCCCAGUCAGCGCUCGCAAACCCAGUGAGGCUGAAAUCAGUGCUGAGAGGGAAGAAGAGACUUGCAAUAGGGGGCUUCUUGAGGUAGCGAAGUAUCCGCAGAGCAGCUUUAUAGUAUUUAGUCAUUGGGGACUCUAGGUACUAGUUGAGUUUACCCACGGCAAAUGCAAUAUCUGGCCUUGUUGUUAGUCAAAUACUGUAGUUUAUCAAUGAGGCGAUGAUAGAGCUUUGAAUCAUUUAUAGGGUCUCCAGAGGCCUUUGAUAGAUGAGUGGAAUAAUUUAUCGGUGUGUAUACGGGUUUGGCUUCAAUCAACCCAAAUUCCUCUAUCAAAUCUGUAGUGUAUUUCUUUUACAACAAAGCAAGCCCCUUAGUGUUGUAUGCAACUUCCAUGCCAAGAAAAUAUUUGAGUUUUCCCAGGUCCUUGAUGCUGAAGUGGGUAUCCAGUAGCUGUUUGAUCCGGGUAAUUUCUUGAAUGUCGUCGCCUGCCAAAACCAAGUCAUCAACAUAGGCUAUAAUGGCUAUGAAAUUAGAUGGAGUUUGCCGAGUGAAGAGUGAAUAGUCUGACUUGGAUUGUACGUAUCUAGCUUCAGAUAAGACUGAGACAAGCUUAGUAUUCCACUGGCGACUAGCUUGUUUUAGUCCAUAAAGUGACUUGUUAAGCUUGCAAACUGAUCCAGCAGGGGCUUCAAGACCAUCAAGGACCUUCAUGUAUACCUCUUCCGGCAAAUCCCCAUGAAGAAACGCCGUAUUGACAUCUAAUUGGUGUAGAUACCACAGCUUGGGGACUGCGAUAGAAAGUAAAACACAUAGUGUUGCCAUGCAAACCACCGGACUGAAGGUGUCAAAAUAAUCGAAUCCCUCUUUUUUAUUAAAACCUUUAGCCACCAGCCUGGCCUUAUGCCUUUCAACAGUCCCAUCAGCGUUGAAUUUCACCUUAAAAACCCAUUUAGAUCCAAUUGCAUUCUUCCCAGGAGGCAGUUUGGUAAGCACCCAUGUCUUGUUAUUUUCAAGAGCAAGAAGUUCAGCAUUUAUUGCAUUCUUCCAACAAAGAUGUUGAAUUGCUUCAUUCUAUGAUUUUGGUUCUGAAAUGGUGGACACAGCUAAAGAAAAAGCUCUGUAAUUCGGUGAAAGUUACUGGUAAGUGAUAUAUUUGGAAAGAGGGUACCUGGUGAUUGAAUGUGUCCUGAUGAUGGUAACAAUGCACAUUGAUAGUCAUCCAAAUAGACUGGUGGUUUUCUAAUUCUGUUCGGUCUUUGGACAGCAGUGGGGUGAAUAAUUUGUGGAGGUGAUGAGUGAUGUGAAUGUAGUGGUGGUAAUGGUGUAUGCUGGGAUGAAUGCGAUUCCUGGUUUUCAAUUGGUGGAUGAAGGGGUGUCAAUAUAUGAUUUUUUGACUCGACAGAUUGUGAUUGUUGUCCUGGGCUAGUGCGAAAUUGUGUGUGCUAAAAAAUUUAAUUCGAAUGGUUUUUAUGCUCGUCAUAUAUGGGAGAAAACAAGUUUGUGUUAUCUAUAUGCUGACUAUGUGCAUGCACAUGACCUUGAGGUGUAGAAUCUGAAUUCUUUUCAAAAGAAAACACUUUCUCGUAGAAUUGAACAUUUCUAGAUAGAAACAGUUCUCUUGAAUUAAUGUCAUACAAGAUAAAACCUUUAGUGUGUAACUUAUAGCCUAAGAACACACACUUCCUUGCCCGUUUGUCUAACUUCUUUCUAUGUGCGGUGAGGGUGGUAGCAUAAGCCAAGCAACAAAAAACUUUCAAACUCGGUAAAUCUGGUUUUUCAAAAAAAAUAGUUCAUAAGGUGCUAUGUCCUUUAAAGCGAUGCUUGGUAACCUAUUUACGAGAAAGGCGGCAUGGCUAACAGCAUAAGUCCAAAAGGAUUUCGGAAUUGAAGAGUGAAAUAAAAGUGCUCUAGCCAUGCCCAAUAGGUGUUGGUGCUUUCUCUCUACCACACCAUUUGUUGUGGUGUUUUGACACAGGAUGUUUGAUGAAUGAUGCAUUUUUCUUUAAAAAAUGAAAUCAAAUUAAAUUGGGUCCAUUAUUGGACCUGAAACACUUGACAAUUUUUCCAAACUGUUUCUCAAUGUGUGUUACAAAAUUCUUUACUAGGAUUGGUACUUCAGACUUAAUUUGAAAAAAUGAACCCAGGUGAACCUGGUUUUGUCAUCAACGAUUGUUAAAAAAUAUCGAUGUCCAUUAAUUGAAGGGAUGGCUAAGGGCCCCCAUAUGUCUAGAUGUACCAAAUCAAAAGCUUUAGAAGAUUGUGUAAUGUUUCUUGUAAAAGAUAAUUUCUUUUGUUUGCCAAAAUGGCAAGGAUCACAAGGUUCAACAUAACCUGUGCAUUCUAUGAAGGAAAAAUCAAUCUUUAUUACAAUAGAUCUACUUUCAAGGACAUGCCCCAAUCUUAAAUGCCAUAAUUUGGCAUUAUUUUCUAUGCUAUAUUUUCAAAACAUGUGAGUGUGGUGUGUAGAAUGUUGUGCAGCUUUUGUUGUGCGUGGUGAUUGAAGAGAGAUUUGUGGUGCAGUUUUAGAAAUCUCUGAUGUGUAGGGUAUUGAUGCAGAUAUGGUGGUAGUUUGUGAGCAUAAUGGGCUGACUCUCAAUGUGUAAAGUCCAUUUGAUUCCUUAGCACACUCAAUCAUCUUCGAAGUAUUCCUGUCCUGUAUCUCACAGCACAUGUCAGUCAUAAAAAAGUGGUAAUUUAAUUGUUUUGUAGCCUUAGAUACUGACAGUAGAUUAAAGGUAAAAGACGGUAUAUACAACACUUCAGUGAGAUACGGGUUAUUUGAACAAACCACUAUUCCAACUAUUUUUGUCAAGGUUUGGCUUCCAUCAAGCAAUUUCACAAGAAUGGGAUCAAUGUAGUGAUAGCUAAAAAAAUUUGAGGAAAAAGGACACAUGGUCAGUUACACCACUAUCUAUUAUCCAUGAAUUUGAAAAAAAAAAUAUUUUAUGAAUAAGAUGUGUGAAAUAUAUGAACUCAUGUGCAGAAUAUAAAUUGGUAUACCUGUGUGGUUCUGUAUAGGCUGGUUUUGCUGAGCAAUGUUAUUUUGGUUAUUCCCUUGUUGAAGUAAUGCAAUUAAUGUUUCUCUUUGUUCUUGAGAUAUCAUGAGAUGAGAAUUCUCAUCGUCUUCCUUUUGAGUCAAAUCCAAUUGACUGCCACUGACUUUUCCAAUUUCAUUGCCAAGUGCUGUGAUUGUGCAAUUCAUGGUUCUGUAUGGUUGCUGUCUCGUGUGAGGGGGUAACCCAUGCUUCUUGUAACAGGUAUCUACCAAAUGCCCUAUCUUAUUUUAGUAAGAGCAUAUUUUAGGUGGUCCUCUACCUUUUCAACCUCUGUUUGACCUUUCUCUUUCUCGAAAAUUACCGUUUGGAGGAGGGUGUUGGUGUCUUGCACUUUCAAAUCGAAUCAGCUGAGCUCAUGAGAAUUCGAGAUUCACUCACAUCAGGGGAGUGCAAUUGUCUCUCUUGCUUGUUUCUUCUAUAUUUUCUAACCACGCCUAAUCCACACAUACACUCAGCUCCACAAUAGCAUUGAGGGAUCGAUUCCAGAUAGUCCAGUUCCUACCAUAGGGCUCUCAAUUUUGUGCAAUACGCAGUUAGGCUUAGGUCACCCUAAUUCUCACUAUAUAUUUUUCUUCCAAUUCAGCUACCCUAAAGACAUCUCCAUGGUGGUAUGUGUGUUUAAGGUCAUUCCACAUGUCACAAGCAUUCUCAUUCCAGAUUACACUUUGGAAAAUUUCACUAGUGAGUGAGAAAUUUAUCCAAGCAACGAUGUAUGUGUUACACUUCUCCCACCCCAAAAAAUUCUUGUCAUUCUCAUCAGGUUUAGGUAAUGAGCCAUCAAUAAGUUGCAACUUAUUCUUUUAUUUAAGGGCUAAUCACAUUGCACGAGCCCAAGAAUGGUAGUUAGAUGCAUUUAGUGUCACAUUCACAAUGGAGAUUCCAGGGUUCUCUUCUGGAUGCAUGUAAUAGGAAUUGUGUGUGUCAUAGUUUCAAUUCGGGCCAAUUCUAUGGUGCCUAUGACUUGGUGCCUAAAUUUUGCCUAACUUUCUUUUUGUAGUAAGCUUUAAAUUUUUAAAAAUUAUUUUUAUAUCUUUUAAAUUAGAAAAAACAACCAUUUGUACCCAUGAACUUUACGAACGCUGACAAAAGUAGCCAUUACAGAAGAAAACUAAUGUUGUAUCCAUCAAAGAUGGAUUCCGUACAACAAAAGUAGCCAAAUCCUAAAUUUAUGUUGACUUUUUAAUAAAAUUCCAGAAUUACCCCCAUCAUUAUCUUCAACCCCUCCUCUCUUCUUUCCUAAAUCUCAAAUACCUUCAUUGCCUAAAAACCCUAAUCUCAAUACCUAAAAACCCCAAAUUAUCAUUUUCCUAACCCUAAUCUCAAUACCCCUUUCAACAAAUUUCAACCCUCUCUUUAUUCUUUUCAUCAAUUUUACCACCUCCUUCACCAACACGUGUUGAUGGUGUAUUGAGUUUGUGCUUCCACCACUGUCGCCGGCGGAGCCUUCUCCUCCUCCUGCUGUAACUUCCGGCUGAGAGCAGUUUUGGAAGAGGUAGUCUCCCGAUGAGUUGGCACCGUAUUCAUGAUGAUGAUCGGCGAAGGAGUGUCCACCGAGUAAGUUCUCCAGCUUGGGUUGUUGGUGAUAGUGGUGGUGGUUGUUGUCGACAUUGUUAUUGUUGUUGCAUGAAGUUUCCAAUAGCAGGUUUUGGUUGAUGUAGUUAUUCUCCUUCCAAUCUAUGAUGAUAAAGAAAAAUUAAAAAAAAAGAGUAAUUUGUAAUAAUAAUAGAAAAAUUAAAAGAGAAAAGAAAUUAUUAAACCUUGAUGAGUAGAAAGGUGAUGAUGAUUGUUGAAGGGUUCUUGAUAGAUGGAAAAAGGAGGGAGGUUGAGAGUAGUAGCGGCAUGAGUGGAAGGAGUGAGAUCAAAGCAGUUUCCAUCAUCAGCAGCAGUUACAUCAUCUUGUGCAGUGGGAUUGAAUAGCCCAAAACGAGUUUGAUGAUGAUGAGUAGUAGUAGUAGUGUGUUGUUCUUGAGGAGAGAGAGAGAAACCCAGCAAGUUCAUUGAAUCCAUAGAAGAAGAAGAAGAAAAAAGGUUAAAUUGCUGAAUAAAGAGAGGGUUGAAAUUUGUUGAGAGGGGUAUUGAGAUUAAGGUUAGGAAAAUGAUAAUUCGGGGUUUUUAGGUAUUGAGAUUAGGAUUUUUAGGUAAUGGAGGUGUUUGAGAUUUGGGAAAGAAGAGAGGAAGGGUUGAAGAUAAUGGUGGGGGUAAUUCUGGAAUUUUAUUAAAAAGUCAACAUAAAUUUAGGAUUUGGGUACUUUUGUCGUACGGAAUCCAUCUUUGAUGGAUACAACGUUAGUUUCCUUCUUUAAUGGGUACUUUUGUCAGCAUUCGUAAAAUUCAUGGGUACAAAUGGUUGUUUUUUCUUUAAAUUAAAUAUUGAUUUUUAACUCUUUUAAGUAAAUAGGCACUACAUUUUAGGCACCAUGAUAUUCACCUUCAAUUCGAACUUACAGUGACGAAUGGUGGAUUCUAGUUCAUCUUGUUUUGCAGGUGUAGGUUUUCAAAUCUUGAAAGUUGGUUCAGAAGUUUCGUGAGAUAUUGAAUGUCGCUUGGAAAAUACUCGUCCUCCGCCGCUUCGAAUGGAUCUUCUAUUCACUCCUCAUUCGCCAUGGAUGGGCCGAAUCGGGAGCUUUCAACAACAACCUAUUCUUCCUCUUGAGCUUCAAUCGAUUCCUCUCACUGAUGUGAACCUUCCAUGCUCACCGCACCAUGUGAAAAUUAGAAUUGUGGAAGGUUUAGAGACAGAAAGAGAGAAAGAAGAGAAGCAGAGAAAUUGGUUAAAUAAUUCAGAUUUCUUGUUGAAAGAGAAUGGAAAAUCACAAAGGUAAAGUUCGGUAUAGCUGCACUAUAUAUACAACAACAUGUGGACUAACCAACUCUAGUUAAGCUAAAGCCAUAUUAAAUUAUAUGAAAUAAUUAAAAAAUUAUAUUUUUUAACUAUUUUUUUCAACUAAAAUUUGUUCACCUCUUUUAAAAAAAUAAAAAUUAGAUUAAUCUAAAAAUAUUAAAUUUAAAAAACAUUAUUAUUAAUUAAAAAAUUAAAUAGUUCUUUAAUGCAUGAACAUCUUUUUUUAUUUUUUAUUUAUUUUAGAGGUGAAAUUAUUGAGUUUUAAUUAGAUUUUAGUGUUUGAAGCCUCUUUAGAUGCUACUUUGAAUUGCUUUGGUGUUUUAAUUAUUUCAGAUGAAGUUUGGAUCGGUUUGGUAGAGUGCGUGUACAAAAAAAGAGAAGAGUUUGGAAUCAACCAAGCUGACACUAAACGCGGACCUGGGCGUUUAGCGCCAGAAGCCUUGUAAUACGUGCCAAGCCUCAGCCACCAGGGGUGCUAAACGCUAAGCCUGGCGUUUAGUGCCAGCAAGCCAGAAACGAUUGAAAGCUCUCUACCACUAGCGGUGCUAAACGCAACUUAGCACCAAGGAGUCAAAAUCGAAAUGGGAGUUUCUACCACCUGGGGCACUAAACACCGAAUCUGGCAUUUAGCGCCAAUGAUGCGGAUCAAUCUUCACCAAAUGAGUAUCUUUAGUUGGAUUUGACUUUUAAUUAUUGUAUUUUAUUUUGUUUUAAUUAUUUUUAUUUACAAAUAAAAUCUUUUAGGUUUAGAAUUUAUUAUUUUAUUUUAGUUUCAAAUCAAAUUAGGUCAGAUAUAAAAGGAAAAAUAUUUAGCCCUUCGGGGAUCUUUUCUCUUACGCACUUCAUUCCAUAGUUUACACUUUUUAGAACCCUAGUUUUCUCUUUGAGUCAUGAGUAACUAAACCUCCUUGGUUAAGGUUAGGAGCUUUGUUUAUUAUAUGGAUUAAUACUAUUGCCUCUCUGUUUUAAUUAAUGCAUUGAUUUCAAUUUCAAGGAUUUGCUUUCGUUCUUCAUCCUAGGAAUUAGGGUAUAUUGGAAGAUAACCCUUUUUCUAAUUGAGUUCUUGUUAAAUCUUGGAAAAGUAAUUUACUUGGACAAAAGCUUGAAAGUAAUUCCUCCUAAACACUAAUUGCUUGGACUUAACGAGAUACGUGACAUAUAAUCCUCUCAUAUUUGGGUAAUUAGGUUUUUGUGGCUAAUAGACUAGAAUCGGACUUAAACCUUUAAUCGAAAUUAAGUGACCAAGGGAUUGACGGCUGACUAGGUUAGAGGAGACUAAAUCAUUGAGAAAUUAGGUUUAGUCAAUCACAGUUUGCCAUAAAUUGAAUCUUGCAUGAUUAAAAUAGUUGGUAAGAAAUAGAAAUCCAUAAAAUAAACAACGCUAAAGCCUUAACUGUUUUCUCACAUAUCUUUUCACACCAAUUUUACUAUUUGCUUUCUAAAUCACUGUUUGAUACUUUUGAACUCCAAAACAUCAUUUUCUGCUUGUCUGACUAAGUGAAUCACUCAAUCAUUGUUGCUUGGUCCAUCAAUUCUCGUGGGAUCAACCCUCACUCACCUAAGGUAUUACUUGGUAUGACCCAGUGUACUUGCCGAUUAGUUUGUGGACUUUAAAUUCCACAUCAUUCUUCAUGUUUGAUUCCCACGAUAAACCAACAACAGAAAAUAAACAUGAACUACCAAAACAUAACUUGUUGAGUGGUCUAAGGACAUAACAAGUAAAACAAAACUAGUUAUUAACGGCAGAUUAUAGCAACUAAUCUAUGUUAUUAAAAUGGAAUAAAAUUAUGCCACUUUUUGCUGGUGUCAUAAUUAACACAACUUCACUUGAAAUUUUCAGACGUAUUGACAAAUACUUGGUGUCAUUAAUCUAAGUUAAACACAUAAAAUCUAUGUGUGUGGAUAAUUUUUUUAGAUCUACAUACUAGACCUUUCAAAAUAGGUAUAUAUUAUAUUAAGUGACUUGAAGGAAAGGGAAGGGAAGGAAAGAGAAUGAAGGUGGUAAGAGAAGAGAGAGUGUGUUGGAAGGUGGGAGGCAUUGAAAGAAUGUGAGUGACGAAAGUUAAGAAGAAGUAAUUAAAUUAUAAAGAUAUUUUAGACAUUUUAAAUUUUAAGUAAAAUCCCAAUGGAAUGGAAUUCCAAAUCAGACCUAUUUGGGUCAGAAUUGAUUUUGAGAGAAAAUAACGGAAUUGAAUUAAAUUCUAUCUAAAUUAAUUUAAUUAUUUUUGUUUCAAAUACUGGAAUUGAAUUCAAUUUCUACCAAGAGAUUUCCAAACACCUUGAAAGAAAGACAAAUAGAGCAAAUCAAAUAUAAUACAGUUAAAUAAAAGAUAAGGAUAGAGUUUGUAAAUGAUGGAUUUUAUUCUAGUUGGACUACUCCAUUUGUAUAUGUUACGUCUAAUUCUUCUCAUAGUCAUGAUGGAGAUUUAUCCGCCAUAAUUUCAAAUUUGAAAUGCGUGCUUAGAAAAUCACUACAAUUUAGAUUAUUUUGGCUGCGUUUGUUUUGUGGAUAGGAUAAAACAUGAUAUUGAGACAGAAACAAUAGAAUAGAGAUACUAAAAAUUAUUUUCUAUGUAUUGUAUUCGGAUAUAAUGUAUAAUACACUAAUAUAAUGUCCAAUCUUAUGUUUGGAUACACAUGGACAAGACUAAAACAUUAUGCAAAAUCACUAAAAUAAACAUUUCUUUCAUACCCUCCUUUCCUUCUCUCUGUCUCUUACUCCUUUCUUGACGCCUAACCCUUCCCUUUGCUAAAAGACGGUGGAGGAAUGAUACCUGCUAUACUUGCUAAACUCUGCUUUUGCCAAUUCAAAAUUUUCUGGGUACAAUUUACUUACGUAAUUUUUUGAAUUUUUUAUUUUUUUCCAUCUAAAAUUUUUAUUGUGUAAAUUGGAAGAUUCAAUAAGUGUUGGAUUUGAUCUUUUUACCCCAAUUAAAAGAAGAAGAAGAACAUAAUGAAAGAAGAUGAACACAGAGAUAGAGAAAGAGCAAGAAAAUGAGAGUGCCUCUCUGUAUUCUCUGAGUACCUCUCUGUAUUCUCUGAGAACCUCUUUAAGAAUGACGAUACAGAGAAGAAGCUUAAAUUAGGGUUUUUGAAAAAAGGGGGGUAAUUAUCUAUGGGUAAAAAGAAAAAAAAUUUUCAUUAAAGAUCCAUGUCCACCCUCUCAAAUUUCGUGUCCAUCAUUAUCAUUCUUUUAAAACUGCACACAAAAUAAAGAAAACAAUCCUGGAGACACUGUGUCCAGUAUCCAUGUCUCUUUAUCCAAACACUUUUUAGAUAUUUACUGUCCAUCUCUGUGUGUCAUAUCUACAAGAACAAACGCAGCCUUUGAUACACCUAACAUAAUUUUUCACCUUUUUUUUUGGUGUCUAAACAACAAAGAAAAAUACAAAGCAAAACACCUAUCCUAAAUUAGACAUAAUGAUUUGCUAGAGAGCUUCUCAAAGGCCCAGACCAAAUAACAUUAUUGAAAUUAUUUCUAGCUCCACAUCUAGCCAUUUCAUCUGCAACUUUAUUUGCUUUCCUACAUAUCCAAUCAAAUUGCAUGUACCAGGAUCUUGAUAACAGCUCAUGAAUAUUGUUAACUAAAUCAACAACUUCAGAUUUACACCCACUAGGAGAGUCAUACAAAAGAUGAAGAAUGUCCAGACAAUACAUUUCACACACUAUGUCUCUUAAUCCGCAAUCCCAAGCUAAAACAAGGUCCCUCCAAACUGCAAAAGUCUAAUAUUGGAUUAUAGACCAGAGAGGAGAGCUACCAGAACAACCUGCAAUCCAACCCCAUUAGAAUUUCUAACAAGAUAAUCAAAUUCAGCCAAGCUCAAAUCAGUAAACAAACUAGCAUCACAAUUAACUUUAAAGCUAUUACCUACAUGAGAUUUUCAGGACAAAUGGUUCCUGAAGGUACUAAAAGAAGUAUACCUGUUCAUAUAUAACCUUAGAUCCAUGACCGUACUACUGAUGAGAGCAACCACCUUGUGAUCUGUCCAAUAAUUUUUAGCAUAGAAAAUGUCAUUGUACCUAUGCCUCUACAACCACCACACUCCGACGCCUAAAAGAGCCUCCUUACCAGAUAUGACCUUUCGAAACCAAGCUUCCAUAAAGAAGCCUUCAACCAAAUCAAUAACUCGAGGAUUUAGCAUCUGCCAAAUAACUCUGGAAUAUACACAAUUUCUAAGGCAAUGUUCUAUUGUCUCCAAAGCCACAUUGCAUCUCUGGCACAUAACCGAACUAGCUAGAUGCCGCCUGAAGCAGAAAACUUUCGUCGAAAAAGUGUUAUGAACCCUAAACCAAACAGUCAAUUUGAUCUUUUCCAGAAGAUUCAAGUGCCAAAGCUAGUUUCAGUUGCUAUUUUCAUUCCAAUUUAAUUUAUUCUUUAACAACCAACGAUAACCCUCUUUUGCACUAUACCCUUUUGUCCCUGUAGGCCACCAACUCCACCCUGGUUCCAUGUCAGCCAAUGUCAGAUAGUACAGGUAGUGAAUAAAAUGCUUGACCUCAAGAGGAAUUGUUAAUGCAAGUCUCUCCACCUCCUAAGAUCCAUCAUGCCACAAAUCUACCACUACAAAAUUGGACUCAGAUAUGUGAACAUAAGGAACAAUAUCACAAAGCCUUCCAAAAAGAGUCCACUCAUCAUACCACACAUAUUGCUGCACAUCCCCAACAUUCCAUUUGAACCAUUCUUGAGAGUAUCAAAUGUUUUGAGAAUGUUCUUCCAAAUGGCUAAAGCGUUCUGACUAUUGUUGUUGCUAAGAAAAGUUGAAUUCUGGAAAUAUUUAUGCAUCAUAACCUAAACCCACAACUUGUCUCUAUUAUUAAAGCAAUCACAAACCAAUUUGUCGAGAAGCGCCAUGUUAGUUGAGUAGGUAUUCCUAACACUCAAACCACCCGUCCUUUUAGGAGUUAUAGCAACAUCCCACUUAAGCAACGACAACCCUCUCCCAUUAGUUUGGCCGCUCCAUAAAAAUUGUCUCAUCAAAGAAUCUAUCUUUUCACAAGCAUACUUCGAAAGAAGAGCAAUUUGCAUGUUGUAAUCCGGAAUAGAAGCCAUUACCGAUUUAACCAAAUGAAGUCUUCCUGCCUUAUUCAGCAAACCCCCCUUCCAACUAGCAAGCUUCUUCUGAAUCUUUUCAAUAAUAUCCUAAGCCAUCCUCCUAGAAGACCUUUCAUGCCCAAUAUUCAUCCCUAGAUAUCUUCCCAAGUCCUGACAAAAGCGGAUAGUAGAAACUCCCGAGAGCACUUCUUUUCUUCUCUCAGAGAUAUUCUUUGAGCAUACUAAGGUUCACCUUCAAUCUUGAUGCUUUGGAAAAUAACUCCAUAGUCUGCAUAACCUCCCCUACCUGAACUUUUGUAGCUUUACAAAAAAGCAGGAGAUCGUCAGCAAACAUCAAAUGAGAGAUUUUAGAGCCAUAUUUGGAGACCAACACAGGUAUCCACAACCCUUGAAAAAUCUGAUGAGUAGUAAAACAAUCAAGAGCCUCCAUAAAAAGCACAAAAAGAUAUGGGGACAUGGGAUCCCCUCGCCUCAAACCCCUCUUUGGGUUGAAAUUCUGAAAUCUCUCACUAUUUCACAAGAUAGCCAAGAAAGAUGACAUCACAUAGGCCAUAAUAAGAUUAAUAGUAGCUCUCAAGAAACCAAAUUUGACCAACGAAGCUUCAAGGAAUCUCCAAUCCACCAUGUCAUAAGCUUUUUCUAAAUCAAUCUUGGAAGUCAUAGUCCCCUUUUUAGACUUAAUAUUCCUCAUGAAAUGCAUAAUUUCCUGUGCAACAAUGAUAUUCUCUGUAGUUCCUCUUUCCAGAAUAAAAUCACCCUGGAGUGGGCCGAUAAUUUCCAAAAAAAAUGGUCAGACCUUGUUCACCAGCACUUUUGAAAUAAUUUUGUAAAGAACAUUACAUAAACUAAUGGGACGAAAAUAUCUUAACGAAGAAGGAGCUUUCACUUUAGGAAUCACAACAAUGAAGGUCUCAAAAAUAGUAGAAUUUAUAAUCUUGCUCUCAAAAGCUCCCUUGACUAACCCCCACACAUCGUAACUGAGUCCCAAAAUAUUUUAUAAAACAGAGCUUGAAAACCAUUCGGCCCAAGAGCUUUGAAAGAAUUCAUGGUCAUUACAACUCUUUUCACCUCUUCUAAUGCCACUGGUUUAACAAAUCUUUGACAGGCCUCAUUGCUAAGAGAGGGACAGGAGAAAUCUUCCAUAGCAUUGAGGUCAAUAUUCUCCCUUGUAGAAAAUAAUUUUUGAAAGAAAGAAUUUGUUUCCUGCUCAAGCACCUGCGUCUCAGUGGCCCAGGUUCCAUCAUCUAACAACAACUCAUGGAUCUUAUUUCUCUUUCGCCUAAUAACCGUCUGCAGGUGAAAAAACUUAGUAUUCCUGUCACCACAUCAAACUCACUGCUCUCUAGAUUUUUGGUACCACAAAGUUCUUCCUGAAGAAAAAUAGAAUUUAGCUCCUCUUGAAUACCUUGCUCUUUCACCCUCAACUCCGGAUCUUUUCCACUCUCAAGAGAAAUAUGAACAUCAUUCGGUUAAAAAAAUUCAAUUUAAAGAUUUAAUUUUUUUGAAAAUGUAGAUUCUACGAAUUUAAAACAAUCCAAACUUUAAAUGUCAAUAUAAGCACUAGAUAUACCNNNNNNNNNNNNNNNNNNNNNNNNNNNNNNNNNNNNNNNNNNNNNNNNNNNNNNNNNNNNNNNNNNNNNNNNNNNNNNNNNNNNNNNNNNNNNNNNNNNNNNNNNNNNNNNNNNNNNNNNNNNNNNNNNNNNNNNNNNNNNNNNNNNNNNNNNNNNNNNNNNNNNNNNNNNNNNNNNNNNNNNNNNNNNNNNNNNNNNNNNNNNNNNNNNNNNNNNNNNNNNNNNNNNNNNNNNNNNNNNNNNNNNNNNNNNNNNNNNNNNNNNNNNNNNNNNNNNNNNNNNNNNNNNNNNNNNNNNNNNNNNNNNNNNNNNNNNNNNNNNNNNNNNNNNNNNNNNNNNNNNNNNNNNNNNNNNNNNNNNNNNNNNNNNNNNNNNNNNNNNNNNNNNNNNNNNNNNNNNNNNNNNNNNNNNNNNNNNNNNNNNNNNNNNNNNNNNNNNNNNNNNNNNNNNNNNNNNNNNNNNNNNNNNNNNNNNNNNNNNNNNNNNNNNNNNNNNNNNNNNNNNNNNNNNNNNNNNNNNNNNNNNNNNNNNNNNNNNNNNNNNNNNNNNNNNNNNNNNNNNNNNNNNNNNNNNNNNNNNNNNNNNNNNNNNNNNNNNNNNNNNNNNNNNNNNNNNNNNNNNNNNNNNNNNNNNNNNNNNNNNNNNNNNNNNNNNNNNNNNNNNNNNNNNNNNNNNNNNNNNNNNNNNNNNNNNNNNNNNNNNNNNNNNNNNNNNNNNNNNNNNNNNNNNNNNNNNNNNNNNNNNNNNNNNNNNNNNNNNNNNNNNNNNNNNNNNNNNNNNNNNNNNNNNNNNNNNNNNNNNNNNNNNNNNNNNNNNNNNNNNNNNNNNNNNNNNNNNNNNNNNNNNNNNNNNNNNNNNNNNNNNNNNNNNNNNNNNNNNNNNNNNNNNNNNNNNNNNNNNNNNNNNNNNNNNNNNNNNNNNNNNNNNNNNNNNNNNNNNNNNNNNNNNNNNNNNNNNNNNNNNNNNNNNNNNNNNNNNNNNNNNNNNNNNNNNNNNNNNNNNNNNNNNNNNNNNNNNNNNNNNNNNNNNNNNNNNNNNNNNNNNNNNNNNNNNNNNNNNNNNNNNNNNNNNNNNNNNNNNNNNNNNNNNNNNNNNNNNNNNNNNNNNNNNNNNNNNNNNNNNNNNNNNNNNNNNNNNNNNNNNNNNNNNNNNNNNNNNNNNNNNNNNNNNNNNNNNNNNNNNNNNNNNNNNNNNNNNNNNNNNNNNNNNNNNNNNNNNNNNNNNNNNNNNNNNNNNNNNNNNNNNNNNNNNNNNNNNNNNNNNNNNNNNNNNNNNNNNNNNNNNNNNNNNNNNNNNNNNNNNNNNNNNNNNNNNNNNNNNNNNNNNNNNNNNNNNNNNNNNNNNNNNNNNNNNNNNNNNNNNNNNNNNNNNNNNNNNNNNNNNNNNNNNNNNNNNNNNNNNNNNNNNNNNNNNNNNNNNNNNNNNNNNNNNNNNNNNNNNNNNNNNNNNNNNNNNNNNNNNNNNNNNNNNNNNNNNNNNNNNNNNNNNNNNNNNNNNNNNNNNNNNNNNNNNNNNNNNNNNNNNNNNNNNNNNNNNNNNNNNNNNNNNNNNNNNNNNNNNNNNNNNNNNNNNNNNNNNNNNNNNNNNNNNNNNNNNNNNNNNNNNNNNNNNNNNNNNNNNNNNNNNNNNNNNNNNNNNNNNNNNNNNNNNNNNNNNNNNNNNNNNNNNNNNNNNNNNNNNNNNNNNNNNNNNNNNNNNNNNNNNNNNNNNNNNNNNNNNNNNNNNNNNNNNNNNNNNNNNNNNNNNNNNNNNNNNNNNNNNNNNNNNNNNNNNNNNNNNNNNNNNNNNNNNNNNNNNNNNNNNNNNNNNNNNNNNNNNNNNNNNNNNNNNNNNNNNNNNNNNNNNNNNNNNNNNNNNNNNNNNNNNNNNNNNNNNNNNNNNNNNNNNNNNNNNNNNNNNNNNNNNNNNNNNNNNNNNNNNNNNNNNNNNNNNNNNNNNNNNNNNNNNNNNNNNNNNNNNNNNNNNNNNNNNNNNNNNNNNNNNNNNNNNNNNNNNNNNNNNNNNNNNNNNNNNNNNNNNNNNNNNNNNNNNNNNNNNNNNNNNNNNNNNNNNNNNNNNNNNNNNNNNNNNNNNNNNNNNNNNNNNNNNNNNNNNNNNNNNNNNNNNNNNNNNNNNNNNNNNNNNNNNNNNNUUAUCAUUUAUUAAUAUAUCAUUAUAUUUAAAUAAUAAAUAUAUUUAUUUAUUAAAUUAUAUGAAAUAAUUAAAAAAUUAUAUUUUUUAACUAUUUUUUUCAACUAAAAUUUGUUCACCUCUUUUAAAAAAAUAAAAAUUAGAUUAAUCUAAAAAUAUUAAAUUUAAAAAACAUUAUUAUUAAUUAAAAAAUUAAAUAGUUCUUUAAUGCAUGAACAUCUUUUUUUAUUUUUUAUUUAUUUUAGAGGUGAAAUUAUUGAGUUUUAAUUAGAUUUUAGUGUUUGAAGCCUCUUUAGAUGCUACUUUGAAUUGCUUUGGUGUUUUAAUUAUUUCAGAUGAAGUUUGGAUCGGUUUGGUAGAGUGCGUGUACAAAAAAAGAGAAGAGUUUGGAAUCAACCAAGCUGACACUAAACGCGGACCUGGGCGUUUAGCGCCAGAAGCCUUGUAAUACGUGCCAAGCCUCAGCCACCAGGGGUGCUAAACGCUAAGCCUGGCGUUUAGUGCCAGCAAGCCAGAAACGAUUGAAAGCUCUCUACCACUAGCGGUGCUAAACGCAACUUAGCACCAAGGAGUCAAAAUCGAAAUGGGAGUUUCUACCACCUGGGGCACUAAACACCGAAUCUGGCAUUUAGCGCCAAUGAUGCGGAUCAAUCUUCACCAAAUGAGUAUCUUUAGUUGGAUUUGACUUUUAAUUAUUGUAUUUUAUUUUGUUUUGAUUAUUUUUAUUUACAAAUAAAAUCUUUUAGGUUUAGAAUUUAUUAUUUUAUUUUAGUUUCAAAUCAAAUUAGGUCAGAUAUAAAAGGAAAAAUAUUUAGCCCUUCGGGGAUCUUUUCUCUUACGCACUUCAUUCCAUAGUUUACACUUUUUAGAAUCCUAGUUUUCUCUCUGAGUCAUGAGUAACUAAACCUCCUUGGUUAAGGUUAGGAGCUCUGUUUAUUCUAUGGAUUAAUACUAUUGCCUCUCUAUUUUAAUUAAUGCAUUGAUUUCAAUUUCAAGGAUUUGCUUUCGUUCUUCAUCCUAGGAAUUAGGGUAUAUUGGAAGAUAACCCUUUUUCUAAUUGAGUUCUUGUUAAAUCUUGGAAAAGUAAUUUACUUGGACAAAAGCUUGAAAGUAAUUCCUCCUAAACAUUAAUUGCUUGGACUUAACGAGAUACGUGACAUAUAAUCCUCUUAUAUUUGGGUAAUUAGGUUUUUGUGGCUAAUAGACUAGAAUUGGACUUAAACCUUUAAUCGAAAUUAAGUGACCAAGGGAUUGACGGUUGACUAGGUUAGAGGAGACUAAAUCAUUGAGAAAUUAGGUUUAGUCAAUCACAGUUUGCCAUAAAUUGAAUCUUGCAUGAUUCAAAUAGUUGGUAAGAAAUAGAAAUCCAGAAAAUAAACAACUCUAAAGCCUUAACUGUUUUCUCACAUAUCUUUUCACACCAAUUUUACUAUUUGCUUUCUAAAUCACUGUUUGAUGCUUUUGAACUCCAAAACAUCAUUUUCUGCUUGUCUGACUAAGUGAAUCACUCAAUCAUUAUUGCUUGGUCCAUCAAUCCUCGUGGGAUCAACCCUCACUCACCUAAGGUAUUACUUGGUAUGAUCCGAUGUACUUGCCAAUUAGUUUGUGGACUUUAAAUUCUGCAUCAUUCUUCAUGUUUGAUUCCCACGAUAAACCAACAACAGAAAAUAAACAUGAACUACCAAAACAUAACUUGUUGAGUGGUCUAAGGACAUAACAAGUAAAACAAAACUAGUUAUUAAUGGCAAAUUAUAGCAACUAAUCUAUGUUAUUAAAAUGGAACAAAAUUAUGCCACUUUUUGCUGGUGUCAUGAUUAACACAACUUCACUUGAAAUUUUCAGACAUAUUGACAAAUACUUGGUGUCAUUAAUCUAAGUUAAACACAUAAAAUCUAUGUGUGUGGAUAAUUUUUUUAGAUCUACAUACUAGACCUUUCAAAAUAGGUAUAUAUUAUAUUAAGUGACUUGAAGGAAAGGGAAGGGAAGGAAAGAGAAUGAAGGUGGUAAGAGAAGAGAGAGUGUGUUGGAAGGUGGGAGGCAUUGAAAGAAUGUGAGUGACGAAAGUUAAGAAGAAGUAAUUAAAUUAUAAAGAUAUUUUAGACAUUUUAAAUUUUAAGUAAAAUCCCAAUGAAAUGGAAUUCCAAAUCGGACCUAUUUGGGUCGGAAUUGAUUUUGAGAGAAAAUAACGUAAUUGAAUUAAAUUCUAUCUAAAUUAAUUUAAUAAUUUUUGUUUCAAAUACUGGAAUUGAAUUCAAUUUCUACCAAGAGAUUUCCAAACACCUUGAAAGAAAGACAAAUAGAGCAAAUCAAAUAUAAUACAGUUAAAUAAAAGAUAAGGAUAGAGUUUGUAAAUGAUGGAUUUUAUUCUAGUUGGACUAAUCCACUUGUAUAUGUUACGUCUAAUUCUUCUCAUAGUCAUGAUGGAGAUUUAUCCGCCAUAAUUUCAAAUUUGAAAUGCGUGCUUAGAAAAUCACUACAAUUUAGAUUAUUUUGGCUGCGUUUGUUUUGUGGAUAGGAUAAAACAUGAUAUUGAGACAGAAACAAUAGAAUAGAAAUACUAAAAUUAUUUUCUAUGUAUUGUAUUCGGAUAUAAUGUAUAAUACACUAAUAUAAUGUCCAAUUUUAUGUUUGAAUACACAUGGACAAGACUAAAAUAUUAUGCAAAAUCACUAAAAUAAACAUUUCUUUCAUACCCUCCUUUCCUUCUCUCUGUCUUUUACUCCUUUCUUGACGCCUAACCCUUCCCUUUGCUAAAAGACGGUGGAGGAAUGAUACCUGCUAUACUUGCUAAACUCUGCUUUUGCCAAUUCAAAAUUUUCUGGGUACAAUUUACUUACGUAAUUUUUUGAAUUUUUUAUUUUUUUCCAUCUAAAAUUUUUAUUGUGUAAAUUGGAAGAUUCAAUAAGUGUUGGAUUUGAUCUUUUUACCCCAAUUAAAAGAAGAAGAAGAACACAAUAAGAGAAGAUGAAGACAGAGAUAGAGAAAGAGCAAGAAAAGAGAGUGCCUCUCUAUAUUCUCUGAGAACCUCUUUGAGAAUGACGAUACAGAGAAGAAGCUUAAAUUAGGGUUUUUGAAAAAAGCGGGUAAUUAUCUAUGGGUAAAAAGGAAAAAAAUUCAUUAAAGAUCCAUGUCCACCCUCUCAAAUUCCGUAUCCAUCAUUAUCAUUCGUUUAAAACUGCACACAAAAUAAAGAAAACAAUCCUGGAGACACUGUGCCCAGUAUCCAUGUCUCUUUAUCCAAACACUUUUUAGAUAUUUACUGUCCAUGUCUCUGUGUCAUAUCUACAAGAACAAACGCAGCCUUUGAUACACCUAACAUAAAUUUUCACCUUUUUUUUGGUGUCUAAACAACAAAGAAAAACACAAAGUAAAACACCUAUCCUAAAUAAUAAGACAUAAUGAUUUGCUAGAGAGCUUCACAAAGGCUCAGACCAAAUAACAUUAUUGAAAUUAUUUCUAGCUCCAUAUCUAGCCAUUUCAUCUGCAACUUUAUUUGCUUUCCUACAUAUCCAAUCAAAUUGCACGUACCAGGAUCUUGAUAGCAGCUCCUGAAUCUUGUUAACUAAAUCAACAACUUCAGAUUUACACCCACUAGGAGAGUCAUACAAAAGAUGAAGAAUGUACAGACAAUCCAUUUCACACACUAUGUCUCUUAAUCCGCAAUCCCAAGCUAAAACAAGGUCCCUCCAAACUGCAAAAGUCUAAUAUUGGAUUAUAGACCAGAGAGGAGAGCUACCAGAACAACCUGCAAUCCAACCCCAUUAGAAUUUCUAACAAGAUAAUCAAAUUCAGCCAAGCUCAAAUCAGUAAACAAACUAGCAUCACAAUUAACUUUAAAGCUAUUACCUACAUGAGAUUUUCAGGACAAAUGGUUCCUGAAGGUACUAAAAGAAGUAUACAUGUUCAUAUAUAACCUUAGAUCCAUGACCGUGCUACUGAUGAGAGCAACCACCUUGUGAUCUGUCCAAUAAUUUUUAGCAUUAAAAAUGUCAUUGUACCUAUGCCUCUACAACCACCACACUCCGACGCCUAAAAGAGCCUCCUUACCAGAUAUGACCUUUCGAAACCAAGCUUCCAUAAAGAAGCCUUCAACCAAAUCAAUAACUCGAGGAUUUAGCAUCUGCCAAAUAACUCUGGAAUAUACACAAUUUCUAAGGCAAUGUUCUAUUGUCUCCAAAGCCACAUUGCAUCUCUGGCACAUAACCGAACUAGCUAGAUGCCGCCUGAAGCAGAAAACUUUCGUCGAAAAAGUGUUAUGAACCCUAAACCAAACAGUCAAUUUGAUCUUUUCCAGAAGAUUCAAGUGCCAAAGCUAGUUUCAGUUGCUAUUUUCAUUCCAAUUUAAUUUAUUCUUUAACAACCAACGAUAACCCUCUUUUGCACUAUACCCUUUUGUCCCUGCAGGCCACCAACUCCACCUUGGUUCCAUGUUAGCCAAUGUCAGAUAGUACAGGUAGUGAAUAAAAUGCUUGACCUCAAGAGGAAUUGUUAAUGCAAGUCUCUCCACCUCCUAAGAUCCAUCAUGCCACAAAUCUACCACUACAAAAUUGGACUCAGAUAUGUGAACAUAAGGAACAAUAUCACAAAGCCUUCCAAAAAGAGUCCACUCAUCAUACCACACAUAUUGCUGCACAUCCCCAACAUUCCAUUUGAAACCAUUCUUGAGAGUAUCAAAUGUUUUGAGAAUGUUCUUCCAAAUGGCUAAAGCGUUCUGACUAUUGUUGUUGCUAAGAAAAGUUGAAUUCCGGAAAUAUUUAUGCAUCAUAACCUAAAACCACAACUUGUCUCUAUUAUUGAAGCAAUCACAAACCAAUUUGUCGAGAAGCGCCAUGUUAGUUGAGUAGGUAUCCCUAACACUCAAACCACCCGUCCUUUUAGGAGUUAUAGCAACAUCCCACUUAAGCAACGACAACCCUCUCCCAUUAGUUUGGCCGCUCCAUAAAAAUUGUCUCAUCAAAGAAUCUAUCUUUUCACAAGCAUACUUCGAAAGAAGAGCAAUUUGCAUGUUGUAAUCCGGAAUAGAAGCCAUUACCGAUUUAACCAAAUGAAGUCUUCCUGCCUUAUUCAGCAAACCCCCCUUCCAACUAGCAAGCUUCUUCUGAAUCUUUUCAAUAAUAUCCUAAGCCAUCCUCCUAGAAGACCUUUCAUGCCCAAUAUUCAUCCCUAGAUAUCUUCCUAAGUCCUGACAAAAGCGGAUAGUAGAAACUCCCGAGAGCACUUCUUUUCUUCUCUCAGAGAUAUUCUUUGAGCAUACUAAGGUUCACCUUCAAUCUUGAUGCUUUGGAAAAUAACUCCAUAGUCUGCAUAACCUCCCCUACCUGAACUUUUGUAGCUUUACAAAAAAGCAGGAGAUCGUCAGCAAACAUCAAAUGAGAGAUUUUAGAGCCAUAUUUGGAGACCAACACAGGUAUCCACAACCCUUGAAAAAUCUGAUGAGUAGUAAAACAAUCAAGAGCCUCCAUAAAAAGCACAAAAAGAUAUGGGGACAUGGGAUCCCCUCGCCUCAAACCCCUCUUUGGGUUGAAAUUCUGAAAUCUCUCACUAUUUCACAAGAUAGCCAAGAAAGAUGACAUCACAUAGGCCAUAAUAAGAUUAAUAGUAGCUCUCAAGAAACCAAAUUUGACCAACGAAGCUUCAAGGAAUCUCCAAUCCACCAUGUCAUAAGCUUUUUCUAAAUCAAUCUUGGAAGUCAUAGUCCCCUUUUUAGACUUAAUAUUCCUCAUGAAAUGCAUAAUUUCCUGUGCAACAAUGAUAUUCUCUGUAGUUCCUCUUUCCAGAAUAAAAUCACCCUGGAGUGGGCCGAUAAUUUCCAAAAAAAAUGGUCAGACCUUGUUCACCAGCACUUUUGAAAUAAUUUUGUAAAGAACAUUACAUAAACUAAUGGGACGAAAAUAUCUUAACGAAGAAGGAGCUUUCACUUUAGGAAUCAGAACAAUGAAGGUCUCAAAAAUAGUGGAAUUUAUAAUCUUUCUCUCAAAAGCUCUCUUGACUAAUCCCCACACAUCAUAACUGAGUCCCAAAAUAUUUUAUAAAAUAGAGCUUGAAAACCAUUCGGCCCAAGAGCUUUGAAAGAAUUCAUGGUCAUUACAACUCUUUUCACCUCUUCUAAUGCCACUGGUUUAACAAAUCUUUGACAGGCCUCAUUGCUAAGAGAGGGAUAGGAGAAAUCUUCUAUAGCAUUGAGGUUAAUAUUCUCCCUUGUAGAAAAUAAUUUUUGAAAGAAAUAAGUUGUUUCCUGCUCAAGCACCUGUGUCUCAGUGGCCCAGGUUCCAUCAUCUAACAACAACUCAUGGAUCUUAUUUCUCUUUCGCCUAAUAACCGUCUGCAGGUGAAAAAACUUAGUAUUCCUGUCACCACAUCAAACUCACUGCUCUCUAGAUUUUUGGUACCACAAAGUUCUUCCUGAAGAAAAAUAGAAUUUAGCUCCUCUUGAAUACCUUGCUCUUUCACCCUCAACUCCGAAUUUUUUCCACUCUUGAGAGAAAUCUGAACAUCAUUCAGUUAAAAAAAUUCAAUUUAAAGAUUUAAUUUUUUUGAAAAUGUAGACUCUACGAAUUUAAAACAAUCCAAACUUUAAAUGUCAAUAUAAGCACUAGAUAUACCUUAUGGCAUCCUCUCCAAAUUCGUGUAAAAGAUUGACUAAAAAUAUAUUUUAAAAGAUACCUAAUUAAACUGAAACUUCACACAAUUUAAGGAUAAAGAUUAUAUUUUUCACGGAAUUUCUUUUUAUAUUUGGUUGCUUGUUGUUAAAAAACUAAGCGUGUGAGUGGAGGCACAAAAAAAUUGACACAAACGAUCAUCAAAUAUUUUACUAAAAAAAAUAUAAUAUAACAAAGUUCCAAACUUGGAUAAACAUUCUACUCUAACAAAAUCUAUAAUAAUGAAAUAAGAAGUGGUAAUUGGUGACACUACUUUACCUUAUCCAAAUCUCUUCCAAAGAGCUCUUAAACGGGUAAUUACUUUAUCUAAACGAAAUACUUGAUACAAAAAUACAAAGUAGUAAUUUGUGAUAUUCUAUCCAAAAUCAAGUCCUAAUUACACUAAUAAUACCUAUCAGUACUAAACUAAAAUGUGUAAAUACUCAAAUAAAUACAAAUAGAAAAUACCAAUAUACAGGAUUAUUCUUCUUUAAACAGUCACUGUAUUAUUUAACUCCUAUCAUAUAAGUCUAAACUAACCAAAUCACCUAUUUAUAUUAAUUAGGUAGUAAAAUUACAUUACGGUUCAAUUGGUUUAAAUAAAUAUUAAAUAAAAUUAUUAAAAAUUGAUAUAUAUAAUGCUUGAUCACUGUCUAGUUGUUCUAUCUUCAAAAAUAAAAAUUUUUAAUUAGUAAUAACUACAAUUUACAAACACAAAUUUACACAAAUUAAAUACAGUUACAGCCAAUGACUAAAUAUUGAUUGUUGAACAGAUUUACAGAAUUUCUAUUCACAUCAAAAAGCAAACAGUACAUGCAGCACCAAAAGUUCAAAACAGAAAAUUAUCAAUUCAGAAAAUAAAUUCAGAAGUCAGAAUCCAUACAAUUAGACAAUUAAAGCAACAAUUAACAAUCAACAAAAUUAAUGAGUACCACAAAAAUUAUUUUAAGAGAAUUAAUUCAAAAUGAAAGGAACAGUGAACCUGAACAAAAUCACUAAAUCAAGUCCGAGACAAGCAACUAGAGAGGGCUAAUUCCAUAAUUUUUAGCCUUGAAAAUGCCCACAGCCUCAUCAAGAAACUUAGCAGAGAAAGAGAGAACCUGGAGAACAAAGGGAAGAAGCGCGACUGCUCGAGCGUUCCACAGAGGUGAAAGCAAGGUCCCUACGCUCUUUUGUGCAAGAAUACGCUGUUGUAAAAGUUAAAAGAACUCCUCCUUUGAAGUAAGAACGAUUAUCCGACUAACCCACACUUUUGGAGGAAGAACUAAAAGGGCUGGUGUAGAAAAUGCCCUUGAGCAGUGGAAUAGAGGUGACGAUGGAGAGACGUUCGCGGUGAGCAGUGGAACAGAGGUGGGCAGCGGCAAACAAUAACCUCAGCAAAAAACAUCAUGAACAGAAAAUCAGAAAUAACAAAUAAAUCUAUAAUCUCAGCAAAAAUAACUAAACCAGCAAACAAUAACCUCAAAAAAUCCAGCUAAUCAGCAAAUCAAUUUGAAACAAAUAACAAGUAUUAUCAGAAAUCAAUUGCUAAACCUUAAACCAGCAAGCAGACGCCGAGGAGAUGGCUGUAAAGUGCGAAACUGCUAACAAAGUAUUACUUACCGGCGGCGAGGUGGAAGGCGACUAACGGCGACGACAGAGGACGCGACACCGGUGAACAGAGAGAAGGCGAGCUCGGCGAUGACAACGACGCGGUGGGGGCAGCGGUUGUCAAACCCGUCGCUGCGGUGGCUGUGGUGGCUGCGCGAUUGGGUGCUGCGGUGGCAAAUGGCUAAAAACAAAAACAAUGAAGGCGAAUCAAAUAUGUAAACCACAUUAAAAUAAAGGAAAUCUGUCAUAUGACUUGUAAACAAUGGAAAUCUGUCAAUAAUUAAAUACCAAAUACUUUAUUAUAUCUUAAAUUAACAAUCAUGAUUCAAUUACGAUGGCAUUAUAUAAAGGAUGUGCAGCACAUGAAAUAACUCCUCUAGAUAAAGGAAAAAAUAUGUUUUGAUGAUUUUGACUCCUAUUCAUCUUGGAAACAUUAUCAGUAUCUUCUUUGUAAUGCAUAAUAUAUAAAAAGUAACAACUAUGCAUCAUUUACUAGCUUACUUCUUGAUGGAUGAGAAACUCACUUCUCCUUUCAAUUCAUUGAUCCUAUUUAGACCUUCAAAAUGUUACUCCUUCUUAAUGGGUUACUUUGUGAUUGUUCCAUCUGUAACAUACAAAUUUACAAACAAAUAAAUUCAGCAACCAAAAUAACUUUAGAAAACAGCAAAUCAUGAAUCCAAAAUAACCUAAGAAAAUCAUGAAUUCAGCAACCAAAAUCAUGAAGUCCAGCAAACAAAUAAAUCACGAAUAAAUAACCUCAGAAAAUCAAAAACAAAUAAAUAACCUCAGAAAACAGCAAAUCAUGAAUCCAAAAUAACCCUAGAAAAUCAUGAAUUCAGCAACCAAAAUCAUGAAGUCCAGCAAACAAGUAAAUCAUGAACAAAUAACAAAUAAAUCAAAUCAUGAAUCCAGCAAAUAAAUAAAUCAAAAAAUCAUGAAACAGAAAAUCAGAAGGCGGCGAGGAGGAAUAGAAUAACAGAGUAUUACUUACCGGCUGCGGGACGCGGUGGAGGCUGCGGUGGUCAAACCCAUCGCUGCUGUGGUUGCGGGACGCGGAGGCUGCUGGACGUGGAGGCUGCGGGACGCUCGAUUGGUGGUGGUGGUGGUUGCAAGGGUUCUCACUUCUCAGAGAAGAGAGGAGAGAUGAGUGGCUUCAAUUGGCGAUUUAAGGUCCAGCACGUGCCUUUCUUCUUCUUCUUCUUCUUUUUUUACACAAAACGGCGACGUUUUAGAGGGUAUAUUUCCGAACCGGAAACCCUCUAAAAAAUCGGACGGUUCUAUUGGUUUACUGGUUAACCAUCGAUUUGAUCAAUUUUUUUACCAGUUUUUUGUCAGACGAUUUCUAAACUUAUCCGGACCAACUAGCUGAUCGGUUUUUGAUUAACCCGGUUGAACCAGCCGAUUCGAUUUGGUUUUCAGAACCAUGAUUCUCAAUAAACUAUUUUUUACCUUUUAAUUUAUAUUCUCAAUAAACUAAAUAUUUAAAUUUUUUUAAUUUAAAAUAAUUUAAAUUCUCAAUAAUGCAUUUUUAUUAGUUUACUCAUAAAUUAAAUAUUUAAAUUUUUUAAUUUAAAAUAAUUUGAAUUCUCAAUAAUGCAUUUUUAUUAGUUUACUCAAUUUUUUUUUUCUUAAAGAAGGGAUUGAGUAGUCAAUUUAAACACAUUGGCCAGUUUGGCUAAACUUCUUAAAUAAGUUCUUUUGAAAAAUGAGCUUAAAAUAUAAGGACUUUUAUUAAUUAUAACUUUUAAAUAAGUUAUUUUGAGUUUGGAUAGUUAUUAUAGAAGUCUUUGUUUUAAAGUUGUGCAUUAAAUAAGAGUGAUAAAAUAGCUUUUGAAAAUAGGAGAAGUCACAUUUUUUAACUUCUUCAAAAGCUCUUAAAUAACUUUUUGAAAAGUUAAAAGUUUAUCUAAAAAAUUGUACCAAACACAUUAAUAUAACUUUCUAUAAGUCAAAAGUUGAAAAAAGUAGCUUUUUAGUGUUUUCCAAACGGACGCAAGCGUGUUUGGAAAACUUUAAAAGUAACUUUUUUAGUUUUUGACUUAUAAAAAGUAGUAGUAUUAAUGUCUGGUGCAAUUUUCAAAACUAAAUUGUGGCUUUCUAAGAAGCUAUUUAGGAGCUUAUAGAGAAAUUAAAAAAAAUGACUUCUCUCCUAAUACUACUACUUUUUAUCAUAUUUUUAUAAAAUAAGCAUUUUUAAAACUAAAAAUCUAAAUACAAAAUAACUUAUUUAUAAGCUACUUUUAAUAUAAUCAUUUAUUAUUUAAACUAUUUUUUCAAAAGAAACUUAAUUAAGUUGUUUACCUAAACUGAGCCUUAUUGUACUAAUUAUCAUAAAACUACUUCUAAAAAUUUAAGUUGAUAAGAGAAGGUAAUAUAAAUGGUUAUACUUUUAAUACUAACAAAUAGGAGAAUAUUUUUUCAAUAUUUUUUUUUAAAAUAUAAUCUUUUAUAUACGAUCUUUAAGUGAAAUAAAAAAAAUGCAAAGAAAAUUUAAUGUAAUGAAAAUUACACCUAACAAUAUGGUAAAUAAUUAAAGAGAAACCACCUAAAAAUGCACAUGAAUUAUCUUGACACUGAUAAAAAUAUUUUUGAAUUUUGUUAUCGACAAAAAUGUGCUCAAAUAAUUUUAAAAUAUACAAAAAAUAUCAUGUCGUAAUUAAAGACCUGCUCUGUUAACGAAAAAUAUGGUGUGACUCACUUGCCAUAUAAGGAGCUCCAUUGCCACAUUAUUCUUUUUUGUUAACAUAGAAUGUCUUAAUUCAUGGGCGUACACUUUGUCACGUUUUUAAAUUAUUUGAGAAAAUUUUUGUCGAUAAUAAAAUUUAAGAACAUUUUUGUGUUGGAAUAAAUUAUUUCAAUAACCCAGAUUAUCCACAUUGAAUUACCAAAAAAUAUAUCAUAAUGUGAAAGCGUACCUUUACUCAUAGAAAUUAGAAAUUAGACAAAAAGAUUGUUUCAGUCUUGUGGUUCUUUCGAUCUUCCUUAACCAAAGCCUUCUGUAUCGCUAAUAGGACUGAAUGGUGACUCUUCUGAUGGAAAAAUAGCGACAAAGGCGACUUUGGUAUAUUGGGGACCGAAACCCUGAAGGCACUAUUUAUAUUUGAACAUGACACCCAUUAAAUCCUAAAGUCCAAAAUAAAAUCGUAUCUAAAGUCCAAAAGAUAAUAUAUCUAAAAUCCAAAAGAUAAUUAUCUAAAGAACAAAAGAUAAUAUCUGCUUUUAUUCUCAUUUAAUUCCAAAUCAAAAGUAAUUAUGACUUAUUCAAUUUAGCAUUUAUAACAAUAAAUGAGAUCACCAUUAUAUAAGUCAUUUAACUUGAAAUAGCACAAUUUGUGAUUAUAAUUAAUAUAUGUAUUGCCCACAAACAAAUUAGAAAAUUAAAAUAAUUUCUUAACAAUCUCCCACUUGUGCUAUACAUAUAUUCUUUCUUGACAUAAUCACAUCUUAUAAAUUUUAUGCGUGCAUCUAAAUGCUAUUUUCUUUAUUACUUUAACAAUUUGGUCCGUCUCAUACAUUAGAUAUGGAAUUACUGCAACUUUUAUCACAUUAAUGUCGUGACUGAACCACGACAAUCACCAUCCUAAUAUACUUAACGACAUAGAUCAAAUUUAGAUGAGUAAUAUGAAAAUUACAUGCAAAGUGAUCUCAUGCAUGUCUAUUUCCAGCUGGUCCAACUUUAAAACUUUAUUGAGAUCAAACACAAAACAAAUAUUGCAAAAUGAACAUUUCACAUAACAUGAAAUAAACCAUCAACUUAAUUCUACAGAAAAAUAAUUCAAUAUCUGUCAUAGGAUAUAUAGUAUAAAAUAAACUCCCACUAAUCCAAGGCACCACAAAUAUUGACACCCAUCCUAGCAAUGUACUCAUGAAAGACUUUAGGGAUCAAUCCCUUGGUUAAUGGGUCUGCUAUCAUAUAAUCUGUUCCUAUAUGUCCCAUGGAAAUCUAUUUUUCUUAAACUUUCUCCUUGACAACUAAGAACUUGAUGUCUAUAUGCUUCAAUUUUGUCAAGCUCUUAUUGUUGUUGGAGUAUAGUACUGUUGACUUAUUAUCACAAAAUAUCUUUAAUGGCCUUUCAAUGUCAUCUACUAUAUGAAACUCAGUGACAAAGUUUCGCAACCAUAUGCCAUGAAAUCAGAAUCAGAGUACUCAAUGAUCUCCAAAUUUUCUGAUCUCCGAUAAAUAAGCAUGUAAUCAUUUGUUCUCUUCAGAUAACGCAUUACGCAUUUUAACAUCUAUCCAAUGAUCCAUGCCCGAAUUGCUCAAGUAUUUACCCAACACUCUCACUAUGAAUGAUAUAUUGGGACGUGUGCAAACUUGAGCAUACAUUAAGCUCCCUAGUGCUGAUGCAUAAAGUUUAUCAUGCAUUGUUGUCCUCUCAAGAUCAUUUUUAGGGUAUUGCUUGAUAUUGAACUUGUCUCUUUUAGCUACGGGUGUGUCCAUUGGUCUAUAACUUUUCAUGCCAUAUCUACUUAAAAUCUUUUCGAUAUAGUUCUUUUGUGAUAAUCCAAGAAUACCUUGAGAGUGAUCUCUUAGUAUCUCGAUUCCUAAUACAAAAGAGGCAUCACCAAGAUCUUUCAUUUCGAAUUUGUUCGAUAGAAAUUUCUUAGUUUCAUGCAACAAGGCUAUAUCGUUACUGGCAAGUAGAAUGUCAUCAACAUAUAAGACCAAAAAAAGUAUUUACUCCCACUGAACUUGCGGUACACAUUCAUCUAUAAUAUUUACCUCAAAACCAUAUGAGGUAAUGACUUGAUGAAACUUAUGAUACUAUUGACACAAAGCUUGUUUGAGAUCAUAGAUGGAUUUUCUUCUUUUUUUUAUUGGAUCUCCUUAAUGGUACUUCUUGAGGUUGUUGAGCUUGCUGUAUGGGUUGGGGUUGAGGAGGAUUCUCAUUAUUUUCCUAUAUUGUAGCAGUAUCUUGAGUAACAACAAUAUUCUCAUUAUUUUCUUGUACUGUAACUGGAUCUACAGUAGGAUUCUCAUUGUGCUCUUGUACUAUAAUUGUAUCUUGAACAAUAAUAGCUACAAAGACCUGAUCAUUGUUAAUUACAGAAUUCUCAUCAAAAGCAACAUUCUUAAUAUUUUUUUCCCCUCAAACUCAACAUCCUCAAGAAAUCUUGCAUUUCCCAUUUUAAAAAUAGACCUUGAUGUAAGAUUGUAAAACUUAUACCCCAUGAACGCUCAGCGUAACCAACAAAGUAGCAACUGAUGGUUCUUGAGUCCAAUUUUCUUUCGUGCGGCUUAUAAGGUCACAUCUCAAUUAGACAUCCCCAAAUAUGCAAAUGCUUUAUACUGGGCCUUUUCCCAGUCUAAAUUUCAUAAGGAAUUUUGUUAACUGCUUUGCUUGGUAUCCUAUUAAGGAUGUAUAGUGCGGUCUUUAAUGCUUCUCCCCAGACUGAUUCAGGCAAGGAAGAAUGACUAAUCAUACUUCUCAACAUGUCCUUAAAAGUUUGGUUCCUUCGCUCUGCAACACCAUUCAUGCUAGGUUUGCCUGGCAUGGUGUAUUGCGGAACAAUACAGCACUCUUCUAGGAAAAGAGUGAAAGGCCCGAUACGUUCUUACUUGAACCGUCAUAUCUUCUGUAGUAUUCACCACCAAGAUCAUAUUUGACAACUUUAAUUUUCUUCCCAAGUUGAAGUUCAACUUCAGCUUUGAAAGACUUGAAAACAUCUAAGGCUUGGGACUUUUCAUGGAUUAAAUAUAGAUACCUGUAACGAGAGUAAUCAUCUAUGAACGUAAUAAAAUACCGUUGUCCAUUCCAAGAAACAGUAGGGAAUGGGCCACAUAUAUCGGUAUGUAUCAGUUCUAAGACAUUUUUAGCUCUCUCGGCACCGAAUUUUCUUUCCUUUUUGUCCUUUUUCCUUUUAUGCACUCAAUGCAGGCUUCAAAGUCCGCCAAAUUUAGGGUUCCAAGAAUUUCAUCCGACACGAGCCUCUGAAUUCUCUAUUUAGAUAUGUGACCUAGGCAUUUGUGCCAUAAUGAUGGCGAAUUAUCAUUUAGUUUUCGUUUUGUACCUGUUUGCAGUAUUUCAUUAUUAUAGGAAUUCAAAUAAAGCCUAUAUAGAUUAUCUACAAACGACCAGAGCAAAUAUUAUUCAAAUUAUAAAAGAAACUGACUUUAUUGUCUCCGAACGAACAAAAAUAACCUGAUUUGUCCAAACGAGAAACAGAAACUAAAUUUCAUCUAAAUGACGGUACAUAAAAUGUCUCUAAUAAAUCCAAGUAAAAUCCACUCGUGGAAGAUAAUCUAAAGGUUCCUAUAGCUUCAACUGCAACUAUAUUGCCGUCUGCCACAUAGAUGUAUCUUUCAGCAUCAUUUGGUGGUCGGCUCCACAGGCAACCAUGCGCAGUAACACUUAUAUGAGUAGUAGCAGCAUAAUCUACCCACCAAGUAUCAACAGGUGCAAAACUUAAACUAGCCUCAAAACAAACAAAAGUAAGAAUUAUACCUUUUUUUACAUGCCAAGUGGCAUAUUUGGUACAAUCCUUCUUCAUGUGUCCCACCUUCUUACAGAAGAAACAGGUUAAAACUUGAUCCUGUUUCUUAGUCUUUUUCUACUGAGAAGGAACAUCCGCAGUAGUAUUACGCUUUCUUUUACAUUGAGAAGAUGAAGCCAUGUGAGCACUUUCAGUCUUAUCUUGUUGUAGCCUCUCUUCUUCUUGCACACAGUGAGAUAUAAGCUCAUUUAAAGACCAAGUAUCCUUCAGAGUGUUAUAACUCACUUUGAAUUGCCCAAAGUAUGCAGGAAGGAAGGUCAAAAUAAAAUGCACGAGUAAAUCUUCAGACAACUCUAACUUUAGUGCUUUCAAUUUUGAAGCAAGAGGAGACAUUUCCAUAAUGUACUCCCUUGUGUUCCCUUUACCUUUAUACCUCAUGGAGACAAGUUUGCUCAAAAGGCUACUUGCCUCCACCUUUUCAUUCUUAGCAAAGGAUUUUUUAACCUAUUUCAGGAACUGUUUGGCAUCUUUAUCCUCAGUAAUUGUUCCCCAAAAUGCCUCAGGAAUUGAGCGUUUCAUGAUCAUAAUGCUCAUUCGAUUGGAUCCCUCUCACUUCUCUAUUUUAACCUCAUUGAGAUUUUCUGGAGUGAAAGUAGGUUUCUCCUCUCGAAGAGCUAUAUCCAGAUCUAUACAACCGAAGACAAUCUCCACGGUAUCCUUCCAAACCUUAAAGUUGGAACCAUUCAGCAUAGGAAUACUGCUAAUUUGUGUAGAAGCAUUGGUAGCUAAAGCCUGAUAAACCACAAUUUUAUGGUUUAUCUUGUAUUGAAUUUGGUGGAUUUUAUCAACUUUUCUUACACUUAUUAGUUGAAAAAGCAUGGUUUUGUGAAUUUCUCCUAAAUUGUGCUUAAGAGUAAAAACAUGAUUUUUAGGCCAUUAAAUUGCUAAAUUUAAUUCACUUGUUUCCCAUUCGAUGCCUUGAUAUGUUUGUUUGAGUGAUCUAAGGUUUUGAAGGUAAGAAUGACUUGAGAAAAUGGAGGAAAAGUAUGCAAAGUGGGAGAAUUAAUGAAGAAAUAAAAAAAUUGCUAAACUGUCAAUCCUGACCUCUUGGUACUAAAUCGAUCAUAAAUUGAGACACAGAGAUCCAAAUGAGGCAGUUCUAGUUGCGUUGAAAAGCUAACAUCCGAGGCUUCAAAAUGAUAUGCAAUUUGCCACAAUUUCCUUACAGUUAGGUGACGCGUACGCGUCGCAGGAUCAGCGUGCUUCACUUAAGGCAACACAUGACCAGUGAUUUCUAGCUCAUUUUGGGCCCAAUUCAACCCAUUUCUGAUGCUAUUGAACCUAAGGAUUGAAGGGGAUGAACCAAGUAGUCCUAAUUUAAGCUUUUUUUUUUUUUAUCAUGUUUUAGGUUAGAAUUCUAAAAAGAGAAGCUCUCUCUUCUCUCUAGAAUUUAGGGUAGUUUAGGCCUAAUUUUCUUAGAUCUAAGUUUUGAUUCUUGUUUCUAGUUCAACUCUCUUUAUAUUUUAUUGUUCUAUGAUCUUAAUAUUAUUAUUUUCUCUUGUUAAUUUCUUUUUGUUGCCAUUUUUACUUUCAUGAACUCUUGUUGGAUCUUGAUUUUCUUUUAUGCAAUUUUGAUGUUUCUUUGUUUAUUGAUGUUUAUUUGAGUUUUUAUUAUUGUUAUUUCGCAUUUGGUAGUCAUAGAUUUUAUUAAUUCUUGAUAUUUACCAUACUUUCCUUUUAUACCUUCCAAGUGUUUGAUAAAAUACUUGGUUGGAUUUUAGAGUAGAUUUUUGUGUUCUUGACUUGGGUUGGUAACUUGGGUAACCUUGAGUUACUAAUGUCCAAGUGAUUGAUAAUUUGUUUCCAUUGACUCUAGUCUCUCACUAAAUUAAUUAGUGAGUUAGCUAGGACUUAUGGAUUAGGAUUGAUAAAGCCCAUUUGACUUUCCUCCAAUAUUGGGGAUGACAAAGUGGGAUUGGUCCUUCUAAUUAUCAUAUUGUGGUUGGUAACAAGGAUAGUGAUCCUUAACCAUCAACCCUUGCCAAGACCUUUUUACCAUUUGAGUUUCAUUUACUUUCAUGCAAUUUAUAUUUCUUGUUCAUCAUUCAAAAAUCCAAAAAUACUUUCCCGUAACCAAUAAUAUGCCCACUUCCCUGCAAUUCCUUGAGAGACGACCCGAGGUUUAAAUACUCUCAGUUUUUAUUGGGUUUGACUUAAGUGACAAACAAAUUAAACUUUGAUUGAGGAUUGUUUGUUGGUUUGAAUCUAUACUUCGACAAAAUUAUUUUGUGAAAAUUUCUAACCGACGAUUUUCCAACGGUUUGGAUCUAUAUAGUUGAUGAAUGAAUUGAGUUGCCAUUGUUAGGUACUUUCUUGCCUUUAAUAUCAUUCUUGUCUAUAUUGCCUCAAAUGUUAGUUUGUUUGUUAAAUUUAUGCUUUGAGUUGUAGGUUAGUUAUUUUGAACUUAAUUUUUGUUUGAAUUGCAAGUUUGUUUGAAUAUUACUUAGUAUAGUAUUUGCUAAAUUUUUCAAAAACUUAAAGAUUUUUAUCAGAUUUGAAUUUUGGUUGUUUUGGAGUGUAUAUAAUGGGUGGGAGUGCCCUGUUUAUGUUUUCAUGUUUAAAAAAAAUGGAUGAGGGUAUCACGCGUACGUCUCGCCUACGCGUGACCCCAAUAAUUUGAUCGCGCCAGGAUCGUGCAAGCACUGUGCUACUGCAUGACUCCAAACAGAGAGUUGCACGCAUAGGGUGCGGGAACCGUGCGUGAAGCACAAUUUCUUCCCACGCGUAUGCGUCACCCUCUAUUUUCCCCUUCUCACGCCUACGCGUGCCAAACGUGUACGCGUCGCAUCCCAUUUCUGCCACUCACACAUACGUGUACAUGUGACCCCCCUUCCUAUUUCACUCACUUCUUUUCUUCGCCUCUCUCCAUUUCUUUUCUUCUUUCCUCUUCUCCUCUAUUCUUUCCUUCUUCCAACUAUCAUCUACCACUACCAUUUACCAUCCACCAUCAUCUCUUUUAGUUAGUUUGUUAGUUAGUUAGUUAUUUAGUUAGUUAGUUAUUUAGUUAGUUAGUUAGUUAGUUUAAUUUUCUAUUUAAUUUUCUAUUUUAGUGGAUAGGCACUGGAUUAUUGAUUUAAUUUGCUGCUUCUUGAUGCUAAAAUUUUUCAUUGUUGGAUUUUUUUAUUGAGGUUACAAAUUGUUGCUUGGUAUUGAAUUCUUCAUGCUUAAUUUUGUGCAUACCAAGUACUUAUGCCUUUGCCUUCAAAGCACUCUAAACCUUUUGAAUUGCAUGUUUUGGCCACCAUGUGAUUUGAAUUCUUUAUUUUGAUUAGGCAAUUUUGAUGAUUGGAUGAUGUGCAUUUAUCUUAAUGCAUCGUGUUGCUUGAUCAUAUGCAUUCAUGUGUUAUGCUUAUGCCUUAAUGACAUGUUGAUUCUUAAUUGUCUAACUAUGUGCUCUACACAUACUUGAAACUAGUCAUUUUGGCAUAAUGAUUCAUUUGUGAAAUUGGAUUGUAAACUCACCUAAGGACAUCUUUUUGAAACUCUCAAGCUAUAUGGACCAUGCUUGCUAUGUGAUUGAUUAACUUAUAUCUCUCUUUUCUUAAGUUGCAUAGCAACCAUAUCUUCCACACUUUAUGUCAACUAGGUGAUGCAAACAAAAAUUCAAUGUGUGUCAUUGAUUGAUGUGUAAGUUUCAUAUUUCAUUUGGUUCAUUAAGUUCUCUCGCACAUCAACCAAUGUCUAUUCAUUAUCCAAUUUACAAUUGCUUGAUUCUUACUUGAGUGCUUUCAUGCCUCUUUAUUACUUGUUUGUUUGUCUUAACCAACAAGUUUUCUUUAAAGUAUUUCAAGUACACUAGAAUGAGUAAAGUGCAUACUUUUGUUGUGUAAUUGUGGCAUAGCUUUCAAUGCUAGUGUAUGUGUUCUAACCCGCUCGCAAUUUGGAAUUCACACAUUUAUUUUCAUCAAUGUCACACACGUAUUCACUCACUUCAUUUUAGUGAUUCUUACCUCAUUCCAACAAUAUAUGCUUCCUUGCUUUUACAUUUGCUUGUCUUACUAUCUUGUUUUCUAUUUUUCAAGAUGAACCACCAUAAGCAAAAACGGAAGCCAAAAAAAGUACAUGCAGUAGCGAGUUGAUCCACCAGCUGAAGGUGGCAAUCCGCAUAGUCGUCGUACCCCCUUGCUCACCUUUGAAUGCACCAAGAACGGUGCAACCUUUUAAGUGUGGGGAGGUCGUCCGACCAAUCGGCUGAUUUUUGGGUGAAAAUUUUUCAAUCCCAACACUUUCACAUUUUAUUUUAUUUUAUUACUAUGUCUUUUAGAAUUUUUAGUUGCAUUUUCUUAUUCUGCAUAUAUAUAUAUAUAUAAAAUAAACUUAGCUAAAAAUAAUGAAAUUUUCUAAGAAUUUUAUCUAUAGGGCACCCCAAUUGAUUUGAGUAAAAUUUUUUAUUGAACUUGCUUGAAUUAUAUAUUGUGGAACAUGUUUUUGAGCUAAGAACACAUAAGCAUGUGAGUUUUGACCCUAAUUGUAUAAUUACAUCAUAUUAACCACUAAUUUCCUUCUUGUAUGUGUUAUUCUCUUUCUAUGAUUGUAAUCUUUGAUUUGUUUGAUUCUUUAUGUCUAUUAUUCUAUGUAUGAAUGCAUUUACAUGAUUGAGGUCUUUAUUUCGAAUAGCUCACUUAACCAAGUGGCCUACCUUUUUAUCCACCUUUGUUAACCAAUUUUGAGCCUAUUUUAAUCUCCUCUGUGUUCUUAAUUUUAGCACAUUAAUAGCCUUAAAGCGGAAAAUAAUGAAUGUCCUUAAUUUGCAUCUUUGAUUAGCUUAGGCUAGUGAGAGUGUGCAUCAUUCAAGUGUGGGAAAGUUUGGGAAUAUUGGUUGAGAUAAAAGUGUAUUUUUGUUGAAGAUCUUGGGAAUUGGGUACAUACUCAUGCAUUAAAUGUUUAAACCAUAUGGAUUGAUACUCUUGUAUAUAUUUUAUUUUGAAAAAAGAAAAAAAUAUAUAAAAAUAAAAAGAACAAAAAAAUAAGAAGAAAAAGAAAGCAAUAAAAAGGGGACAAAAUACUCCAAAAUAAAGUAAUAAUAUCAAUGCAUAUGUGGUGUGAAAUGAAAAGAAUGCAUGAGUGUGUGAAAAAAUGAAGAAUGGGUAGUUAGGUUUGCAUUUGAAUUGUAUAGGUUGUUGUAGGUUAGGUGAAAGUUUAAGUUAAUCAAAUAUUCAAAUUUUAGUCCACUUGAUCAAAUAUAAUCUUACCUUGAUCCUAACCCCACUACAACCUAUGGAUAAGUCCUCAUGAUACUUGUAUGCAUGCUUUGAAUAAUUGUUGAUUGUUAGAAGAAGAACAAAUCUUAGAAAGUAUGAUUAGAGGAGAAUUGAGUGAAUCAACCCUAUAACUUGAGCGAUCAGAGCGGAUACACAUCCGGUGAGGGGUUCAAUUGCUCAAUUACAUGUUUUCACCUAUAAUUAUCUCCUUCUUACAAGUUUAUAAUUCUUUUCAAUAACUCAAUUCAAUUGUGGAUUUGAUUUGAUUAUGAUUGCCUUAGCCCUUAUGUUCAUAUUUGUAUUUUUGGAAAUUGAAUUAUUUUGACUAAGUAGUUGCAUGCAUUGCAUUUAGAUAGUUUGCAUUAAAUAAAUAUUCAUACCCCAUUUCUUGUCUUUCUUUAUACUUAGCAUGAGGACAUGCUAUUUUUUAAGUGUGGGGAGAUUGAUAAACCACAAUUUUAUGGUUUAUCUUGUAUUGAAUUUGGUGAAUUUUAUCAACUUUUCCUACACUUAUUCGUUGAAAUAGCAUGGUUUUGUGAAUUUCUCCUAAAUUGUGCUUAAGAGUAAAAACAUACUUUUUAGGCCUUUAAAUUGUUUAAUUUAAUUCAUUUUUCUCUCAUUCGAUGCCUUGAUAUGUUUUUUUAAGUGAUCUAAGGCUUUAAAGGUAAGAAUGGCUUAAGGAAAUGGAAGAAAAACAUGCAAAGUGGGAGAAUUAAUGAAGAAAUGAAGAAAUUGUUAAGCUGUCAAUCAUUACAUCUUCGUACUAAAUCAAUCAUAACUUGAGCUACAUAGAUCUAAAUGAGGCAGUUUUAGUUGUGUUGGAAAGCUAACAUCCGAGGCUUCAAAAUGAUAUGCAUUUGCCAUGGUUGCCUUGCAGUUAAGUGAUGCGUACGUGUGACCAAUGCGUAUGCAUCGCAGGAUCAGCGUGCUUCACUCAAGGCAAUACGUGACCAGUGAUUUCUAGCUCAUUUUGGGCCCAAUCCAACCCAUUUCUGAUGCUAUUGAACCCAAGGAUUGAAGGGAGAUGAAUUAAGUAGUCAUAAUUUAAGUUUUUUUUUUUUAUCAAAUUUUAGGUUAGAAUUUAGGAUAGUUUAGACCUAAUUUUCUUAGAUUUAAGUUUUAAUUCUUGUUUCUAGUUCAACUCUCUUUAUAUUUUAUUGUUCUAUGGUCUUAAUAUUCUUAGUUUCUCUUAUUAAUUUCUUUUUGUUGCCAUUUUUACUUUCAUGAACUCUUGUUGGAUCUUGAUUUUUUUUAAUUCAAUUUUGAUGUUUCUUUGUUUAUUGAUGUUUAUUUGAGUUAUUAUUAUUGUUAUUUUGCAUUUGGUAGUCAUAGAUUUUAUUAAUUCUUGCUAUUUACCAUGCUUUCUUUUUAUACCUUCCAAGUGUUUAAUAAAAUGUUUGGUUGGAUUUUAGAGUAGAUUUUUGUAUUCUUGGCUUGGGUUGGUAACUUGGGUAACCUUGAAUUACUAAUAUCCAAGUGAUUGAUAAUGUGUUUCCAUUCACUCUAGUCUCUCACUAAAUUAACUAGUGGGUUAGUUAGGACUUAUGGAUUAGGAUUAAUGAAACUCAUUUGACUUUCCUCCAAUAUUAGGGAUGACAAUGUGGGAUUGAUCAUUCUAAUUAUCAUAUUGUGGUUGGUAACAAGGAUAAUGAUCUUUAACCAUCAACCCUUGCUAAUAAGACCUUUUUACCAUUUGAGUUUCAUUUACUUUCAUGCAAUUUAUAUUUCUUGUUCAUCAUUCAAAAACCCAAAAAUAUUUUUUCAUAACCAAUAAUAUGCACACUUCCCUGCAAUUCCUUGAGAGACGACCCGAUGUUUAAAUACUUUCGGUUUUUAUUGGGUUUGACUUAAGUGACAAACAAAUUAAACUUUGAUUGAGGAUUGUUUGUCAGUUUAGAUCUAUACUUCGACGGAAUUUUUUUGUGAAAAUUCCUAACCGACAAUUUUCCUACAUCAACGCCAUAGUUUUUGGAUUAGAACAAAAGGAACAUGCAGUAAACAUUAGUUAAAUAAUGGGAAAAAAAUUCAUAUUGAGAUAUCCAAAACAACAUUAAUUUUCAAUCUUUGGAUAGAAAAAUUAACUGUAAGUGAUACUCUCAUUGCAGUAAUCAAAUAUUGUCAAAAUUUCUGUCACACAUUAAGCAUUUCUUUGGACCGACUGAAUGCGCACAUGAAAACUUAAAUUUCGCAACCUAUUUAUUACCGCAUAUAUUUUAUAUUAAUUGGCCAAACAAUAACCUUCCUUUGGGCCGAUUAUUGACCGCAUAAUUAAAAGAAAAUAAACAAAAGUGUGCAAUACUUAUUAUUUGACCAAACAAUAAACUUCCUUUGGGCCAAUUAUUGUCCGCAUAAAUAAUAAGCAUUAUUUUAUUCUUAAUUAGUUACUAAAUAUGUAUUUACCAUCAAUAUGUGUAUGUAAUUCGGUCAAAUAUAGACCUUUCUUUAGGUUGACAAAUAUUCGUAUGAAUUACAUAUCAUUAUAUUUUUAAUGUUUUAAAUAAAUCAAUUUUCACAAAAGAAGCUACUUUGGCAGUAUAAUAUUCAAUCAAUUUAUUCAAAAACCAAAUCUUUAUAAAAUUGGUGGAUAUAAUAAUCCUUAUAUCCCAAGAGGAUAAUUAAUCAAUUUUGUACCAAAUUAAUGGCACACACAAUUAAAUCUAAAACAAUUAUAAUUUAAUAAUAUUUUAUAAAUAUUUUAGAAUAUUUAUUAUACCCAAAAAAAAUAACUCUAACAAAUCGCUCUCAUACAAAAUAUAUAUAUGUAUAUAAGUGUACCUUAAUGUAUAACCAAAUAAUGAUAAUAUAUAUAAAUAUUCAUACAUAAUAAUACACAUAUAUAUGCAUAUAAGGAACUGCAAUCCACGCGAUUAGCAUAGAAAAAGUUAAUCUCUGUGUUCGUCCAACAGUAACAACUACAUACGACGCACACACAUAAUAAAAUAUAUAUGUGUGACACCAAUGAACAGAAUUAUAGCCGACUAUUCUUAAUUAUAAUUUUGUUGCGUAGCAAUAUUCAAUGUAGGCAGCGCAUACAUAUACAUGUAUCAAUAAAAAAAAAUAAAAUUAAAUAUUUUUGAUGAUUAAAUUAUGAAUGGUUCUGAUACCACUUGUUGGAAUAAAUUAUUUCAAUAACUCAAAUUAUCCAUAUUGAAUCACAAAAUAUAUCAUAAUGUGAAAGCAUACCUUUACACAUAGAAAUUAAAAAUUAGACAGAAAGAUUGUUUCAGUCUUGUGGUUCUUUCGAUCUUUCUCAACCAAAGCCUUUUGUAUUUCUAAUAGGGCUGAAUGGUGACUCUUCUGAUGGAGAAAGAACGACAAAGGCGGUUUUGGUAUAUUUGGGACCGAAACUCUAAAGACACUAUUUAUAUUUGAGCAUGACACUCAUUAAACCCUAAAGUCCAAAUAAAAUAGUAUCUAAAGUUUAAAAAAUAAGAUAUCCAAAAUCCAAAAGAUAAUUAUCUAAAGAACAAAAGAUAAUAUCUGAUUUUAUUCUCAUUUAAUUCUAAAUGAAAAGUAAUUAUGACUUAUUCAAUUUAGCAUUUAUAACAAUAAAUAAAAUUACCAUUAUAUAAGUCAUUUAAUUUGAAAUAGCACAAUUUGUGAUUAUAAUUAAUAUAUGUAUUACCCACAAACAAAUUAAAAAAUUAAAAUAAUUUCCUUACAUUUUGUGAAUGACAAAAUAAUUCGGAUACAUUUUUUGUGGUUUAUCCUAUCUUAAAGUUAAGUGAACUAUUAUGAGUACAAAGCACUUUUUCAAACAAGAUAACACGAAAGAGUGAAUCACUAAGACAUUGAAUACAAGAAUAUUAUUAUUGUCAACCUCAAGGAUCACUUUAACUUUUAGGUACUCCUCUCCAAAUCCCUAAUUUUGUUCCACACUUCACUCUCCUUUCUUUCCUUCUCUUCCUCUUCAUCUUUCCUUCACUCUCAUUCUAAACUUCCAUCCGAUCGCCAAGUUAAUAAAAGUAAAGACAGGCACGGACCCAACUUGUAGUAUGAGGGGCACUUGCCCCAAUUUUUAUAUUUUUAUAUAAUUAAUAAUAUUCAACAAAUUUUAUUUUAGUGUAUAUAUUUUUGCCCCCACUUUUAAAAUUUUCUGGGUCCGUCACUGAGUAGAGUUAAUUAUCAAUUUUAUAUCUGAAAAAUUCACGCAUUGACAAAAAUGUCACUGAAAGAUUUCUUGACAAAAGAGUUUUUAAAUGAUUUAAAAUUAUGACAAAAAUAACCAAUAAAUAUUAUAUUUUUUAUAAGUGACAAAAACUUUUAUAUUUAGCAAAUGACAAAUCCAUUUGAUCUUAAUUUUGUGACAAUAUUUAAAUAAAUAUUUUAUAAGGUGCAUAAAAAAGUUUGGAACAAAAUUUGAUCUCUAUUUUUUUUCAAAAUAAUGUGGUCAUUCUCGAUGAAAAUUUUUAUAAAAAAUUUACUUGACAUAAAGUUACCAAAAUUUAAGAAUGAAAAGAUCUUAUUUUUCUAAUAAUGUGUACAAAAAUUUAUAUUAAAAUUUGACCCCUAAAAUUAUAUUUUAGAAUAUAUAUUUAAUAUCUAGCUUUUUUGUGUGGUUUUAAACCUUUAAGAAGCUUAUUUAUUAUUAGCAUCUUUUGAGGUUAUUUUUAUUAGCAAUGUAAAUUUUUUAGUACCAUUUUUGUUAGCCAAUAGGUUGUUGUAUGCACAAGAUGGAAUUCGAAUCUCGAUACUUGUUUAAGCAUACAAGUGAAUUGACUACUUGACCCAUCCAAUUUGGUUAUUUGGUAAAAGAAGCUAAUUCUUGGGAAUGAAUCCUCUCAAUUUUUUUUUCAAUUGAUGAAAUUAGGGGUGUGCAUGGCCCGACCCGACCCGAAGACCCGGCCCGGUUCCGAACACUUUAGGGGCUAAUUUGGUGUGAUUUCACCGGGUCUAGGGUCGGGUAAGGGUCUCAAAAAUAGACCCGGUCAUUAUUUCGGGUCGGGUCCAGGCCAUGACUUGGGUCACCCGAAAUCGGCCCGGUGGCCCGGUCAUCAUACACAAUUAAUAUUUUGUGUUAUUAGUGAUGGAUGAUGGUUAUUCUUAUGUGAAAUUUAAGUAUUGUAAACCUUAAUAUUUUGUGCUAUUAGUUAUUAUAAGACUAUAAGUUAAUGUUUUAUGUUUAAAAUGCAUAUGCAUAAGAUUUUAAACUAAUGCAUAAUCUUGUGUUAUUUGUAUUGAUUUAAAUAUUUGGUAUUAUUAGACAAUAUUAGUAUUGAUUAUGGUUAUGCUUUAAUUUUAGAGAAGAGUUGGUUCUUGUUAUAUUUUUCUAAGUGAAUUUUACCAUGUCAAAUAAUGAUUGGAGUCUUGCAAAUUUGGAUAUUUUCACAUGCUAGCUUAUAAGAAGGUAUCAAGGUAAUGUAAUGUUAACGGCCCGGUUUUUACCCGAUAUAAUCGUGGCCCGAAAGUGUAUAGGUUUCAUCGGGUCUAGGGUCGGGUUCGGGUAUAAUAAAUAGGCCCGGUAUAUAUUUCAGGUCGGGUCUGGGUCGCAUCAAACCCGGUUUCACCCGACCCAUGCACACCCCUAGAUGGAAUAAAAUGUGAUCUUUUAACCCUUCAAUAUUUUCUCUUGGUCACAUCUAUAAAAUAUAUAGUGAGAGAUCAUAUUUUAUUCCCUCAAGUAAAAAAAAUUGAGAGAAUCCAAUUUCUUAAUUUUUUUAGUUUUGACAAAUUUUAAAUGUAAAAACAAGUAAACAAAGAAUAAAUAUCUAUCUCCACCCCACAAUUUCUUCUAAAGACCAGGAGGUCCCAACAAAAAAAAUAUCCAUUUCGACCCUUGUUUUUUAAUAUUGUAAGACUAAUUAGUCCUCAUGUUAAUGAUAUUUUUUUAGAAUAUGCUUAUGUGAUACGUUAAUCACGAAUAUAUUUUUAAUUUAAUUUUUAUAAGCAAAAAUAAAUUAAAAAUUACUAAUAUUUCUUAAUUUUACAUACAAAAUUUAACUAAUGUAUUUAAACAAAUUAAUAAAAAAAUAAAAUAUAACUAAAGAANNNNNNNNNNNNNNNNNNNNNNNNNNNNNNNNNNNNNNNNNNNNNNNNNNNNNNNNNNNNNNNNNNNNNNNNNNNNNNNNNNNNNNNNNNNNNNNNNNNNNNNNNNNNCUCCAAAUAAAAAAAUCUAUCAAUCUUAAUUAGUUUUUAAUGGAUAAAUCAAUAGUUUAAUAUGUCACGCAUAUUUAUUUUAUUAAUAUAAAAAAAUAUUAACAAAAAGACUAUUCAACUUCACAGAAAUAAAGAUUAAAAGUCGGAGACGUAAUUUUUUUUAUUAAACCUUGUUGCGAGGGCCGUUUAAGAUUUUCUCUUAAAAGAAUAAUCUCCAAUAAAUUUGAUAUUACUCUCAUUCUCUAAUAUAUUUGGCUGAAAAAAUAAAUAAAUAAAUAAAUUGAAGAUAGAGAAUCAUUAUGGACAUGCAUAUGUGAUACCAAUGGAUUCUCUAAAGCGGCAGUAGGUGUUCAUAGCUCUAGUUGCUUUAAUCUUGCAACUGCACCUGGGUAUCUUCCUUAUUCCGUUUUGCUUCCAACUUGGAAGCUUUUCAAUGCUGCUACUGCUAAACCAAUUAUUAUUGUGCUUCUGAUAAUAUGCCUGCAAUUGCAGUUGCAGACCACAAUUUAAAACCCUUUACUUUACUUUCGUUUUGUAGAUUUAAGCCAUGAUUUGAAACCCUUGUAAUAUUUUUUCAAUUAUAUAUCUCGACGGCCUUAUUGGUGAUCUGCUCCUUUGUGAAAAAAAAAAAAUAAAUAAUCACAACUUAUUGCAUCGAGAAUGCAAUUAUAGACUUAUAGUUAAAGAAUUAUAUAUUUUGGUGACGCUUAAAAAUUAGGAAAAAUGACAGAUAGGGCCUGACUUUUUAAAUUUUUGAUAAAUACAUCAUUGACAAAAUUUAAAUACAAAAAUGUCCCUGACUUUAACAAACGGAGGACAAUUUAGUUCUUCCGUCUAUUUGCCUCUCAUACACCAAACGGAACUGGCUAACGUGGCUGAAACGGUGUCUAGGUGUCCGUUACGGUGCCAUGCUGGAAGGGGAAUAAAGUUCGAAGGACAAAUAAGUCGUUGACGUUAUUUUGCAAAUAAAGUUCGAAGGACACAUAGGUCCUUGAGAAUUUAGUUCAUUAUACUUCUAUUAUGCUUCUAUUAUGAGAAUUUAGUUUAUAAAAUUAUGCUUGUAUUUUAAAAUCUACUUAACUUGUUGUAUUCUACAAUUUAAAUUAUUUGUAUUAAAAUUGCAGAAAUUGGGCUUGUUCUGUUUCUACUUUUUUUUUCUUAAAUUGCAUUAGUUCAAUUUUAGUACAUUUGUGUAUUAUAUUAGAAUUUGUUAAAUUGCAUUCGUUCAGUUUUCAUCAUACCAGUGGCAGUAGUUAACAUCAGUUCAUUUAUGCAUCAAGUUAGCAUUAGUUCAUUUGUGCAUCAUUCAUGUAUUAAGUUAGCAUUAGUGCAUUUGUGUAUUAUAUUAGAACUAGUAUUUUUAUCCAUAAUAACAUUACGAGAAUAAUUUUUUUUUUUAUGAUAAAGUGAAUCGAAUGAACUUGGUUCGAACUCCUUAUAUAGCCGAAAUCCGUGUAAUUCGAAUCAAUUAGAUUCGAAUUACUAACACUCACCAAAUUCACCUAAUUCGAAUCAAUUUGAUUCGAAAUUCACUCAAGUGCCAUUUUCCAAGUAAUUCGAAAUGAUAUGACUCGAACUACUCCAACAUAAUUCGAAGUAAGUCAUUUCGAAUUAUUAAGGAAUUUUGCAUGCAUAAUUCGUUUCUAAUUGAUUCGAAUUACGUGGGAAUAUUCUUUGAUAGUAAUUCGAUUUGAAUCAAUUCGAAUUACUUGCAAACUGAAUUCGAAUCCUUUUGAUUCGAAUUAUAUAAAAAUCUGUUCUGGUGGAUUGACGUAUCGAAAUUUGAUUUGGCGGAUUUAUGUUAAACUAAGCUCCCCUUGGCUCAUUUGGGUUUUUUACUAUAAAAUAUAAUUAUAUAUAGAGUAAAAAUAGUAGAGAGAAAUAGAAAAAUAGAGAGAGGUAGAUGAGAGAAUUUAGGAAAGGAGUUUAUUAAUUUUGAAAAAAAAAUUCUCUUAAUUUUAAUAAGAGUGUCAUGUGACACAUUUGAUUAUUAAAUUAGAUAGUAAUAUAUGAUACAUAAUAUAGGUAUAUUUCAAUUAGAUAGUAAUAUAUGAUACAUAUAGAAGCAUAAUGAACUAAAUUCUCAAGGACCUAUUUGUCCUUUGAAUUUUAUUUGCAAAAUGACAUCAAGAACUUAUUUGUCCUUCAAACUUUAUUCUCCUUCCAGCAUGACACCGUAACGGAUACCUGAACACCGUUUCAGCCACAUCAGUCAGUUUCGUUUGGUGUAUGAAAGGCAAAUAGGUGGAAUGACUAAAUUGUCCUCCGUUUGUUAAAGCCAGGAACUUUUUGUAUUUAAAUUUUGUCAUGGAUAUAUUUGUUAAAAAUUUAAAAAGUCAGAGACCUAUCUAUUUUUUUUCCUAAAAAUUAUAUAUAAAAAUUACAUUUGAUAUUGUCAAUUAUCAAUUAUAUGAAAUAAAAUAAAAAAAAAAAUUAUAUAUAAAAAUUACAUUUGAUAUUAUUAAUUAUUAAUUAUAUGAAAUAAAAUAAAAAAAAUCAUGGUCCGAAAUAAUCUACAAUUCUACAUAAAAGGGAGAAAAGGAAAAAAAAAGUGAAUUGAUUUAAGAAUAAAUUAUUAUAUAAAUUCUUUUUUAGUAAAAGUCUAUUUUUACUGAAUGGAGUCAGUUAUAUGGAAUCAAAGAUGUCAUUGCGUCGUGUGGCCAUGCAUCGUCAUGCAUUGGGAUGCGACAUUAUUUUACAUUGGUUGUUGCAUACUAAACAACCCCCUCAUAUUUUCGGGUUUGGGAUGUAAACAGAGGCGGAAUUAAAUUAUCAUAUAAAUUACAAAUAAUUAAAUAAUUUAUUUUCAAAAAAAAAUAAUUAAAAUGUCUAAAGAAUUGCUCGUCAGCCCAACAAUAUUUGUGUUCUACUUCCUUUUCUUAUGUUUAGAAUAAAGUACCCACAAAUCUCAUUCGAAUAGAGUCAUGGACCUAGUAAGAACAUUAAGAAUAUUUCCUUUUCGGUUUUCUAAGGGUGAAACACAAUGACUAAUCUUUUUGCUACAAAUCAUCCUAUUAAGAACAAAUGACUAGUUACAAGAUGCUUUUCAUGACUAAGGUAGGAGUAGGAUUCAAACUUCUAACUUCUUAAUCAAGAGACCAAGUGAUAAAAUACCAAACUAUACUCAAGUAGUUAUAUCACCAAUAAUAUAAUCACACAUAGCAAUGUAAUGUCCAAAUAAUCCAUAUCACAUUUAUAUCACUUAUAAUAAGUGAGACUUCUCCCAUGUGAAAGUCUUGUGAUUUUGGAUAAUGCGGGGUGUUAGAAUAUCUGACACCCACUCAGUUAAAGUUAGAACAUUGUUUAGCUCGUGUUUCAUUGUCUCUACGCGUUUGUUUGCUUUUAUAAAUAUGUAACACGAAAUUCUACUGAAAUUUUUGCUCAUGAUUGUUCAAUAUCAAUAUAGGCUUUUAAUUCUAAAUUAUUUGGGAGUAUUCACUAGGAUCAAUUUCACAUCAUCUUGAGUUUUCUGCUAUUUAAUUAAUAAAAUCUUAAGUUAUGGUCUAAAUAGAAUAAAGUGUUCUUUAAUGGUUCUGCUAAAAAUGUUUUUCUUUUAUGUAUGUUGGCCCGCAAAAUACAAGUGUUACAAUGGAUAAGCAUUCGGUACUUAUUAUACAUUUUGGUGAACCCCCAGCCUCAUUUUCCUCAAUUCCAUUUCUUCAGUUGUUAUACAAUGCUCUCUGGAUGAAACUGCACCUCCUGUAAUUUUGAAGAACUAAAACUUUAGCCUAGACUUACCAGUUAAUAAAAGCAUGAACAAUCAAAAUCCUUCAAUGCUAGAGAGGAAAUUCUUUAUUGUACAUUCACCUUUUCAAACAUCAAAUUCUUAAUUCUAAGUUUAUCUUAAGAUGAAUUCUAUGGUACCUAUAAAUUGGUACUUAAUUUUUGCCUAACUUACCUUUUAUAUCAAAUUCUAAAUUUUAAAAAAUUAUUUAUUUUUUAUACUUUUUAAAUUAAAUAUUGAUUUUUAACUUUUUUCAGCAUUUAAGCUCUACCUUUUAAAUACCAUAGCAAUCACCUUAAUAUGCAACACUUUUGAGCGAAUUUCAACAAAGGAUGAUAAAUCAGUUUUGAGUAAAGAGAAUGCAGUGGCUAAAUGGAUGGCUAAUUAUACUAAUGCUAGUGAAAAUAGGAAGUUACAAACAAAUUCAUAAAACAAGAAUUGAAUUUUGUAAAUAAAAGUAGUGAAUUCCUACUUUGAUAAUCUGGAAAAUGCUCCAUCUUUUCCUUUCGCAACAUAAUACACCGAAGAACUUACAUAACAAUUAGUCUAACUAAGAAAUUUACAUCAUAACAAUUCAUUAAUAACCAUGAUUGAUAUUAUGUCAUUCUCAAUAUACUAGUUGACCUUAAAGAAGUUAGAUGACAAGAGAUUGCAAAAUUAUAAAACACUUUAGAAGAGAUGCAAGGUCAGCUAGAUGGAGCUCAUGCUGCAAUUAUAAGUAAUAGAGAAACAACAAAACCAACAAUUGAGCAAGCACCACACUACCACAGUAAUUAAAUAGAUUCUGCUGUGGACAACACUAAGCUAGAGUUACUAGCAAAUAAAAGUGAGGAGCUGGAGGUAAGUAUAAACUUCUGUCUUAAAAGGGUAUGUUUUAUUGUCAGAGGAAAAUGGUGAAAACAACAGAAUUAUUUUGGCUUGAAGUUCCAAUACAUUUUGCAGAUAAAAAUUUCACCCAAAAAAUUAUGUUAUAUUUUUAAAUAGUAUAAUUUAAAGAAAGGAACAUACUUUUAACUUUGUUUCCAAGAAGAAUGUUAUGCCAUUUGUCACUCGAAAUUUAAAUUACAAAAAGUAGAAGCAAAUGUGGGGAAUGAAAAUUAUAAAACGGUCCCCUAUGGAAUAGAAUUGAUGAUUAUUUGCAGAAGAAUAUAAAUUCCAAUCCAACAUGAACAAUAUCAAAUUCAGUAUCUGCCUACUAUACUUACAUACAUACAAAUAUGUACCAAACAAAGAAUCUAUUGUUCCUCAAACACAAAAUGAAUUUAUAUACUUAUCAUCAUCAUUUAGUUAUAGCCACCAUGAAAUCAAUCGAUCAACUACCUAUCCACAUCCUCAAAAACAAGACGUAAUUUCUAACUACAAAAACUUCAUCAAAACUCCAUGUAGUUUUCAUAGAAAAAGCGAAAAGAAUGGAACUUUAAUGCCCUUGGAGUAGGUGGCAGAGGUAGAGGCAGAGGCGGAGGAAGAAGGAAUGAAGUCAGAGUUGAUGGCGAGGAAGAGAAACAGGGCGACGACAGCGACACACAUUGCACAAACAGCGACGGCGGAAGAAGACAGACCGCCGAAAACGUCAAGAACCCUAGCAGAAUCACAAAUUAUGUUUAAGGGUGGAGAGGGGAAAUUUGGAAACUAAAAAUCGUAGGGGUAAAUGUAGAAUUACAAAAAAUGAAAACAGAGGGUUCAAUUUGAAAUUACUAAAAUCCGUGGCCUAAAUAAGAUUUUUUUUUUUUGGUGAUAGAGGGGGGUUCAAAGACCCCAAACAGAACAAAGAAAACCAAUUAGACUAGUCCUCUAAAGAGGGGAACAACAGCUAUAUCAGUGAUAAGAGUAUGUGUAAUCUCAGCAGGGGCCGAAUCAAAAGUAUGCAAUCCAAAAGGGAGGUGUUGUCCUUUCUUUGCUAAAUGAUCAGCAGCAAAGUUUGCUUCCCUGGGAACAUGACUCCAAUACACUUGAGGGAUUCGAUUGGCAUGGAGCUUAAUUUCUUCAACAAGGGGAGAGCACGGGUGGCCCGCAGGACAUCCAUGAGAGAUAAAUUUCAGAGCAGCAGUCGAAUCAGAUUCCACGAUAACACUAGAUUGAGUAAGAGUAGAGGCAAUUUUAAGACCAUGGAUUAUACCCCAAAGCUCUGCAUGCAUAAUUGAGCAACUUCCAAGGUUACAAGAGAAGCCUUUCACGAAGCCUCCAAGAUGGUUCCUAACAAUUCCACCACACGCUGCAUUAUUUCUAUGCGCAAAAAGAGAGCCAUCAACAUUCAGUUUCACAACACCUUCGCUAGGGGGAGUCCAGCAUAUUGGACGAUCAUGCUUAGCACUAUAGGUGAUUAAAUGAGUCAUAUUCCUUGUGAACCGGCUGAAUUCAUCACUUCGGGUUCGAAUUUGAGCUAGGACUGAAGGUGCAGGGCUGUCUUUACCUUCGAACAUUAGCUUGUUGCGGAAGAACCAGAUUGAGGAGGUAGCAACACCAAAAAUGCAUUGCCAGUUGCUGUGUGCGGAGAGGUUUGCUUUAAUCCAAUCAUGCAGGCUUGAAUUAAAGAAACCUUGUUUCCACAUUGGGGGUAAAAGGGCAUCCCAGAUGCUAGACGCAAAAGCACAAUCUCUUAGUACAUGAAGUGUAGUCUCACUGUGAUUGCUACAUCUUGGAUAGAGGGGGGAGUUUGAUAAGUGACGACGUUGUCUCUCUGCAUUCGUUAGGAUUGCAUUAUUAGCAACUAACCACAGGAAAUACUUGAUACGUUCGGGUCCUCUCCAACGCCAAACAAGAUCAAAUAUGUCAUUGAGAGGAGGCUGAUUAGUACAAAGGGCUUGGUAUGACAGUUUGAGGUUGAAAGAACCAUCCGAUGACAGGUUCCAUGCAACUUGGUCCGGCAAUUUCCAAGGGGAAGGCGGGGAGAUGGCCACAAUCUUCUUUACAACAUCCUCUGGAAGCCAACCAUUUAGCUUGUUCACAUCCCAGUUUCCUGAAACAUCAAGGAAAUCCAUAAGAGAGCUAGAUGUAUCUAAAGGAGAAUUAUUUACCUGUGUAACAUAUUGUUCCAGCUUGCCCAAGUUAGGGACCCAAUUAUGCUUCCAAAAACUAAUCUCAGUGCCAUCCCCUAUCCUCCAAAUAUGGUUCUGCGAGAUAUCAGGCCAUGCCUUACAAACUCCUUUCCAAAUGUUAGAGCUCUUAGGUUUUUCUAUCCACGAUAGGAAUAAUAUCAUUCCCGGCUUUAUACUUAGAACGAAGCACUCUAGCCCAUAAGGAGUUUCUCUUCUCCACCAGGCCCUAUCCAGCUUUCAUCAGGAAUGCAUGGUUCAUCAAAUUUGCAUGCCUAAUGCCAAGUCCACCCGCUUUUUUGGGAAGGCAGAUUCUGUGCCAGGCUAUGAGAUGGACUUUCUUUGAUUGUUCUGUAUCACCCCAAAGAAAGCUCCUGCAUUUACGGUCAAUGGCAUUACAAGUAGACAAAGGUAAUAGUGCAGUUUGCAUAGUAUAAAGAGGAAUAGAAGAAAGGACAGAUUUCACCAGAGUUGUUCUCCCAGCUAGCGACAAGGAAGAGGCUUUCCAAGAGUUGAGUCUGGAGUUAAGCUUGUUGAUAAUAUCGUCAUAAGUGUGCUUAGAUACUUUGGAAUGCAAAAGAGGAACUCCUAGGUACUUUCCAAGGUUAUCCGUCCUUGCAAACUGGAGGGUUUCACUGAUCUCAGUUCUGACUUGAUUACCCACAUUUUUGGAAAAAUAGACCCGAGUCUUCUCAUUAUUAACUUUUUGCCCAGAACUGUCACAGAACGCCUUGAGACAUCUCUUGAUGAUGUCAACUUGUUGGAGACUGGCUUCAGCAAAAAGAAUAAGAUCGUCCGCGAAGCACAAAUGAGAAAGACUAGGACCAUUUCUAUUCAGUUUGAUAGGUUUCCAGAAGCCAUGGUCAACUGCAGCACUGAUAAGCUAUGAGAGACGCUCAAUGCACAGAACGAAAAUGUACGGUGAGAUUGGGUCUCCUUGACGGAUGCCUCUGGACGGCUUAAAUUCAUCCAACUCCUCCCCGUUCCACAGGACUCGCAUCCUAGCCGUAGAAAUGCAUGCCAUGAUAAGGUUGGUAACCUGAUCAGGAAACCCAAUAUCUUCAAGAGUCUCUUGCACAAAACUCCACUUCACUCUAUCAUAUGCCUUUUCUAAAUCAAUUUUAAUAGCCAUCCAACCUCUCGGUCCUUUCUUAGUUCUCAUGGAAUGUAUGACUUCCUGAGCAAUAAUAAUAUUAUCCGAGCUAUGCCUACCAGGAACAAAACUGCAUUGUGUAGGCUUCACCAACUUUUCCAUAAGGUUUCUAAUACGGUUCGCUAAGACUUUAGUAACAACUUUAUAUGAGACGUUACACAGACUUAUCGGUCUCAUCUGCUUGAGGCUUGUGAUAGGUUCCACUUUAGGAAUAAGGGUGAUAAGAGUCUCGUUAAUCUCAUGAAUUCUCUGAGGUUCUGCAUAGAUGCAUUGAAUAAGGUUGCAAAGAUCAGUCCCAACUCUAUCCCACUGAUUCUGAUAGAAAACUGCUUGUAAUCCAUCUCUUCCAGGAGCUUUGAAGCUCCCCAUAGCAAAAACGGCCUCUUUUAUCUCCUGAACAGAGAUACUUCCCCCUAUUAUGUUGCAGUCAGCCAUACUUAAACAGGGAAAAGCAUUAUUAAGAACAAAGGGAACAACAGGUAGAGAGUCUGUGUAGAGGUCUGAGUAGAAAGAGAGAGCCAUACUUUCGAGUGCAUUUUUAUCAGUAACUAGAUUACCUCUAGAGUCCUGCAAAGAGUGGAUUUUGUUUUUCCGUCUCCUCACCAUAGUUGAACCAUGAAAGUACCUGGUAUUCCUAUCACCAAACUCGAUCCAUUUGCAUCUUGAUUUCUGGUACCAAAGAAUUUCUUCUUGUGUCAACACUUCCUCGUAUUCCUUCCAAAGCUGCACUUGAAGAUCCUCAAGGAAAGAGUUGCUGCCCUGUCUUAAGCUAUUUGUGAUUCCCUGAAGUCUCCGAAGAAUUCUGCUUUUUCGUUUCCAAAUGUCACCAAAAACAUUAUAGUUCCAGUUCUUCAGGGAGUUCUUGAAAUUUGCCAGGCCUUCUGACCAAGAACUCUCCAUACGCCAAGAUUGAUGAAUCAGAUUAUUGAAAUCAGGAUGCAAAAGCCAAGCUGUAAGAAACCUGAAAGGCCUUCUCCCUCUAUUCAGAUCCGGACUCACAGCAAGGUUGAGACAUAAAGGGGAGUGAUCCGACUUGAGAAGAGGAAGGUGUUUGACAUGCGCCUCAGGAAAGGUAAGUUGCCAAUUAAGAUUACUCAGACCUCUAUCCAAUCUUUCCACGAGAUUUCCUCUCUUCCAAGUGAAAGGCCAGCCAAUGAAGCCUAAGUCAAUAAGGCCACAAUCAGACACACAUUCUUGAAAAUCACUGCAAGCACCCGAAUUCGCUCUAUUAGAUCCUCCUUGCCUUUCGUGAUCAUGGAGUAAGGCAUUGAAGUCCCCCAAGAGGCACCAAGGGAAAUUAAUGUUAUCGGCUAAGGAUCGAAUUUUGCUCCACAACGCUCUCCUAUUAACCCGUUGCGGGCUCCCAUAACAAGCUGAAAGCAACCAAAAAUCAGAGUUGUUGCAAGAGACUUUAAGAUGAACUAAUUGAUUAUUAUGUUCCAAAACACAAACAUUCCAAAUACUAUCAUCCCAAAGACACCAUAUGCCCCCAGAAUGACCAGUAGCUUCCACAAUAAAGGACCCAUUCAAUCCAAUCUUAUCCCUGAUGAUCUUUCCUUUAACACCGCUCACAUGAGUUUCGAGCAAAAUAAUGAAACUAGCAAAGUAUUCUUUACACAUAUCUCGAAUAAGAGAGUGGAACGACUUACUCCCUGCUCCCCGACAAUUCCAACAGAUAAUAUUCAUUAAAAAACAAAAAUUAAAGAGGGGUCACAGAGGACCAAACUCACAACUGGGGAGAUAUCCCCUGCACCCGCAUAGCAUUACCCAAGGAAGAAUUCCCAUCUUUAGUCAAAAUAGAUUUCUUAUCAGCACUGGCACUCACUGCCAUGUUUGAAGAUGACGCCACCCCGGUCCCUGGGUCAGGUGGCUUCAAUAUAGGGGUGGAGUUUUGGGUUUGAGUAAGAAAAUUAUUUUUUACCACAUGUGCUUCAAGCAAUGAUGGGUUCCUUCUAGAUAUCUCAAAAGCCUCUCUCUGUUCACCCUGAAGAUGCCUCAUGUGUUCUAGCAUCACCAUCUCCAUGGCUGCCAUCUCUUGUUUCUUCUCUGCACGAGUCACCGUUUCGGGAAGCUUCUCUUUAUGAGAUUCAACAACGUUUCCCUUCUUUGGUUCUUUUGAUUUAGGUGAGUCUUGAUCCAUGGAUUUGGACUUCAGUGUGUUUCCUUUUUCAGUGGGCCUAGGCCCAGUUGCCACAUGAUUUUGUUUUCUAAUUCCUUGUGGAUUUUUGCUAGCUCCCUGUUUGAGAACUUUCUUAUAUAUGGGUUGGGAUUUUCCAAAAGAAUUUUGGGCCUUAGCUACAUAGAGCCCAUCUUGUGAUGAAGGAGCUUGCUUAUCCAUCUCUUCUUGCAUGUCAUGCAUGUUUGUGCCACCUGGUUCCUCUUCAUAGAGGAUAUUAUAGCGAGAGCCACUCCCCUCCUCAUGAUUCACAUGAUCCACAAUAAUAUCAUCACCGCCAGAUAUUCCGCCUUUAACAUUUGAAUGGACCGUUCCUCCCUUUCCGUACGUGAUUGGUGUUUUUUUCUUCCUGAUUUGCCUCCGCACCAACAUUGCCCGAUCUUCAUGUUGCCUUCCGGAUUCCACCGACUUGCUUAUUUGGUCACUAGUAUCUCCACUUUUCUUAUUGGUUCCUUGUUGAUCCCCGUUGCACUCCGAUCCAUGGUGCUCAGCGGAUUCCACCACUGUUUCACUACACUGGUCCAUUCUAUGCCCAUAUCGACCACACGAAAAGCAAAUUUGGUAAAGUCCUUCAUAUUCAAUAUUCAAUUCACUACCAAGUACCGAUAUACGUGGAACAAGUUUCUUAGCAAGAUCGAUUUUCACACAUAUCCGAACAAAUCUUCCUCUUGAGUGAAUGGAAGUAUUACGAUCAAUUUUAAGCAUAUGGCCAAUAGCCGAUCCUACUCGCCAUAAAAAACGGUGGUUAUAAAGUUCAAUUGGCAGAUUUGGAAUACGAACCCAAACCGCAAUCUUCCUAACAUGGUGCUCUGACUUCAAGAAGAAAGGUCUCCAGCGUUGCACAAUGAGAUAGUGUCCGGCAAUCAUCCAAGGUCCCUCCAAAAGCGCGUGUGAGUAGUCUUCCUCAUCUGAAAAAUGAACAAGAAAAUAGUCACGAUCCAUAUCGAUAACAUGUAUCGUACCUUUCUUUACCCAAUCUCUUUGGAGACCUUGCUCUAGGAAUGCCAAUCCCACACGCUUGCCUAAGACUUUUAUGAUAAGAGCAUUCCGCCAUGGUUUACACCAGUCCUCGAACUCUUCCUUCGAUACCGGAAUGGUGGGGCAUGGAUCAAAAGGCCUGUCUUCAAGAUCGUCCUUAUCGGUAUCCUUAUACCAACGAUCUUCCGGAUCUGAAGACUCUUCAUCAAUGUCAUCCAUAUUCAUGCUUUCCUCUUCAAGAACCAUGCUUGGCGAUUUAAGAAGAGAAUCCUUGUAAGUGGCCUUUGGUUCAUUCUCGACAUCGGCAUGCACAACGAUAUCCAUGCAGUCACUAGAUUGAUUCAAGUCAACUUCUUCACGCGUCUUGACUUUUUUAGUGCUUCGUUCUUUCAUAUCUUCUUUCUGGGAGGAAACCAGCAGAGCCUUCUUUCAUAUCUCCUUUGAAAGUUGGAAGCCACCUUAUUAUGUUAAAUAAGAUAACAAAAGUAGAAACAAUUAAACAAAUAAGUAAAUAACCUCGAACAAGCUUGAUUCUACCCUCGCUCUUUUGGUGGUUGCAAGAAUGUUGUCAUUCUUCUCAUUCUCACGAAUCAUGUUAAGGUAUGCUCUUCAAAUCCCAAAUCCCUCCCCUUAUUGUGUUUCCUAUUCAGUUUUCCGUCUUUGCUUCCCUUCAACUUCAUCCCUACACUCUCACUCUCACUCUCACUCUCAGCCCCAAUCACGUGAUGAAGCUGUUGAUUCCUUCACUCGCAUGCUCUCUAUGCGUCGCCCUCCAUCCAUCAUUCAAUUCACCAAGAUUUUGGGAUCUCUUGCCAAGACCAACCAUUUCUCCACCGCCAUUUCCCUUUUUCAGCAAUUGCAAGCCAAAGGAAUCGCUCCCGACUUAUUUACUUUGAGCAUCGUAAUUAAUUGUUGUUGCGGCAUGGGUCGUAUGACGCUUGCUUUCUCUGUAUUGGCCAAGAUUUUCAGAAUAGAUUAUCAACCUGAUACGGUAACAUUGAAUACACUCGUUAAAGGCCUCUUUCUCUGUGGUAGUGUUGAAAAAGCAGUGCGGUUUCAUGACAGAGUGCUGGCUCAUGGAUUUCACUUUAAUCAAGUCACUUAUGGGACCUUGAUCAAUGGGCUCUGUAAGACCGGACACACGUCAGCUGCUAUUCAAGUGUUGAGAAAGAUCCCAUGGUAUGGCGUUGCUCCUAAUGUCUUCAUGUACAGCGCAAUUAUUGAUAGCCUCUGCAAGGAUACACUUGUAAGUCAGGCUUUUCAUUUAUUCUCUGAAAUGCUUGCUAAGGGAAUUUCUCCCGAUGUUAUCACAUACAGUUCUCUCAUUUUUGGAUUGUGUCUUGAGGGUCAAUAUAAGGAAGCCAUUGAUUUGUUAAGUGAUAUGAUGCUUAGAAACAUUACUCCAAAUGUUCAUACCUAUAGUAUUUUGAUCGAUGGGCUAUGCAAGGAAGGAAAGAUCAAAGAUGCUAAGAGUGUAUUGGCUGUAAUGGCAAAACAUGGUGUGAAACCAGAUGUGGUUACUUAUAACAGCUUAAUGGAUGGAUAUUGUUUGGUUAAUCAGGUAAAUAAGGCAAAAUAUAUAUUCAACACAAUGGCCCAAAGUAGAGUGUCACCCAAUGUUCAAAGUUACAGUAUCAUGAUUAAUGGCUUGUGCAAAAGUAAAAGGGUCGAUGAAGCCUUGAAUCUCUUUGAAGAAAUGCGUUGCAAGAACUUGGUUCCUAACACGGUAACUUACAAUACUCUAGUUGAUGGCUUAGGAAAAUCAAGGAGAAUACUUUGUGCUUUGGAGCUUCUUGAAAAGAUGCAUGAUUGGGGUCAACCUGCUGAUAUAGUCACUUACAGUUCUUUGCUGGAUGCUUUGUUCAAUAUCAAACAACAUGACAAGGCACUUAUGUUAUUCAAUCAAAUGAAAGAGAGUGGCAUUGAUCCAAAUAUAUAUACAUACAACAUACUUAUAGAUGGCCUGUGCAAAAGUGGAAGACU